GCCAUUACAAAUUAUCCCCUCAUCAGAUAUUUCGUUAAAAUUCAUUCUGAAACACUAAAACUAAAUAAUCGAACAUGGCUUUGCGGGUCGAUGAUGCCAGAAGCAAUUCGACUGCAAUUAUCACUUGUUUAGUUUCUGUGCUUGCCGUGGUUUACUUGGCAUGGAAUGUGAAAAAAUCAAGGAAAGCAAAUGCUAAACUGCCACCAGGACCUCCCGGCUUGCCUGUAGUCGGAUACCUCCCAUUUCUCGGAACUACUGACUUGCACAAGAAAUUCACGGAAUUAUCCGGAGUUUACGGUCCGAUCUUCAAGCUCUGGCUCGGAAAUAAAUUAUGUGUAGUGGUGAGCUCACCUUCCCUAAUUAGACAAGUGGUUCGUGAUCAAGAUACAACAUUCGCGAACCGUGACCCACCGAAGGCUGCACUAGUGGUCUCCUAUGGUGGCAAUGAUAUUGCAUGGUCCAAUUACGGUCCCGAAUGGAGAAAGUUGCGCAAAUUUUUUGUGGGCAAGAUGAUGAGUAACGCAAGCCUUGAUGCUUGUUAUGCUCUAAGAAAACAAGAGGUUAAAAAUACUAUCAGGGAUUUGUAUAACAACGACAACAAAAUUGGCAAGCCCAUUGACAUUGGUGAAUUGUCGUUUUCAACAUUGGUAUGUGCUAUACAGAACAUGCUGUGGGGUGAAGCGCUUGAAAUAAGAGAGAAAGGGACCACUAAUCUUGGGGCUGGGCUAAAAUUUAAGCUGGCAGAACUCAUGGUGCUUGCGGGAACACCGAAUAUUUCGGAUGUCUUUCCAAUGCUUUCAUGGCUUGACAUACAAGGUAUAGAGAGGAGAGCAAAGAAGAUUUCACUCUGGCUUGAAAAUGUUAUAAAUUCUACUGUUGAACAGCAUAGAAACAAGGAGUCAACUGUUGAAGGUGAAGAAAGAGCGGGGAAAAAUUUUGAAGGAUCAAGGAACAAGAACUUCUUGCAGUUACUAUUGGAGCUUCAAGAAAAUGAUGACAGUGCUUCCUCAAUUAGCAUGAACCAAUUCAAGGCCGUACUCAUGGUAUGUUAAGUAACUAGCAACGAACAGUUAUACAAGCACAGUUGUAUAUUUGCAUGAGUGAUAUUUUCAACCUUUUUUUUUAAUUAGAAUUUUAUUGUCACCUUUUGGACAGGAUAUAAUUACGGCUGGAACCGACACCACAGCUACGAUGGUGGAAUGGACAAUGGCAGAGUUGAUGCAGCAUCCACAAGUAAUGAAGAACGUUCAGGAAGAAUUAGCUCAAGUUGUGGGCAUGGACAGUUGUGUUGAAGAAUUUCACCUGUCUAGAUUAAAGUAUUUAGAUGCUGUGGUGAAGGAAACAUUUCGUCUGCAUCCUGCAGUGCCUUUAUUAGUACCACGCAGAGCAAGCGAGAGUGGCAGCAUUGGUGGCUAUACCAUUCCCAAAGAUACAACUCUUAUGUUGAAUGUUUGGGCUAUCCACAGGGACCCUCACCUUUGGGAUAAUCCCUUAGAAUUUCGACCCGAGAGGUUUCUGAAUGUUGGUGUCGAGAGUAAGUUCGAUUACUCAGGUAACAAUUUUCAGUACUUGCCAUUUGGUUCUGGUAGAAGAAUGUGUGCUGGGAUUCCUCUAGCUGAGAGGAUGCUGAUGUUUGUUUUGGCUUCGUUAUUGCACUCAUUUGAGUGGGAAUUGCCAGCUGGCACAAAGCUAAACUUAUCUGAAAAAUUUGGGAUUGUCAUUAAGAAAAAAGAGCCUUUGGUUGCUAUUCCAACACCAAGACUAUCCAAUUCAGAGCUCUACCAUUAAGACAAAAUGGUUGUGAUGAUUUUGUUAAUUUUCCGAAGAUUUGUAUGUUAUUUAGUUCAAUCGUAAUAAAAUAUUUCAAAUAAGAGUCCUCCGUUGCUUUUUUUUUUUUUUUUUUUUCAACGGCAUAAUCUGUCGUCAUGCUUGUAUUUGGAGCUACUUUGGAAUAAUUAUGUUUGAAUUACAAUUUAUAAAUAUUUACGUUUUAAAUUUUUUAUAAGAGUCUAAAUUUAUACACGUUUAAUAUCCCGCUUCAUAGAUAUUUAACACAAUUUAUAUCAUACAUUGUAUACCCAUUUGUCAUAAAUUAUACUAUUUUGUAUCUCUAAAUAAUAUUACGUAUUGAUAUUAUAAUAUAUAUAUAUAUGUUUAUCAAAAGACUAUACCAUUCAAUAUAUAUUGAAAAGAGAACAAAGAAGAUUUUCUUAUGGUUUAAAAAUAUUAUGAAUUCUGCUGUUGAACAGUAUGGAAACAAGGUCUCUGUUGUUAAAGGUGAAGAAGCAACAGGGAACAAUAUUGAAGGAAGAAAUUUCACAUGUUUAGUUGCUGAAUUUGCCGCUGUAUUCUAUCGGUAGUAGAGUUUUUAUUUUUCUCUAUUAAUUUAAGUCAAUUUUCUAUAACAAAUUCGGUUGAGUUUAAUUGUGUUAUAAUAUAAAUUGAAUGAUAAUAGAAUUUUCAACAAAUAUUUCAAUAUUUCUAUCUCGAUUGUUGAAGUGCCAUUUAUUUGUUAUGCGAUCGAUUUUAAAAUUUAUAAAAUUAUUUGUUACUAAAUUGCAUCAUAUGCUAAAAUCACCUGAAACCUAAUUCCAUAACUAACCCUUUAUUUUUAGUUCUCAAGAAAUCUUGUAAGAACAAAAAUCUUUUAUAACAAAACUUUUACAACACAUUAAUUUGUAACUCAUUCCUGUGCGCGAAUCACUCUCAAUUUCCUUCAAUUGCUGUUUAACAAUCAUCUACUUAUCAAAAUUCAAGCAUAAUCUUUUUUUUUUAAUUUCUUCAUCAUUCUUUAAAAAAAAAAUCAGGAUAUGCUGUUAAAUUUUGAAAUAAAUAAAUUAACCAAAGUUGGUUGAUGUGAGUGGUUCAAUGAUGAGCAUAAUUUAUAUACAUAUUUUACCUUUAAUUAUAUAAUUAUUAGUUAUUUUUAUUAGUUAUUUUUAAUUAAUUGAAUUAUUUUAUUGCAUAGAGAAUUAAUUGGAGAUUGGGAAACAAAAAGUGCAUAAAGAAUAACAAGUUUGGGAAAGCAUCAAUCAAAGCCGUGACGCAAUUAAGAGUUUAUAGCAUAUGAAGCCAAGAGUAAUUUGCACUCAAAAAGAAUUUCAAUUAUUCAAGUGACCUGGACCUGCAUGGCAUUGUAAUGCAUGGAAAGCAACUUAAAGGGGCCCACACUUGGCUUUUACAAUUGGAAAAAGGAAUCCUAGUGCAAGCUUAAUUGAUGAGCACGUGAGUGAGAGCAAAGAAAAUUAAAAGGCCAAGCCUUUUGGCUUAAGGAAAUAACAAGGUCGGUGGGGCCCAUUUUAAAGAGUAAUAUAAAAGCAAGCUUUUGGCUUUUGGAGAGAGGAGCCGCGAGAGGAGGAAAACGCAAGACAAAGAGAAGAAAAUCUGCAGCAGUUCGGCUUCUAUGGUUGGUUUUAUCUCUUUUGUUACUCUUAAUUCAAAUAUGUCUAGUUAAUUUUCUUAUAUUAAAGUUAAGGAUGAAACCCUAUUCAAUGAAAUAAUUAUCUUUUUAUUUAUUUAAUUCCCAUAUAUGUUCUUUAAUGAUUAUGAUUUUUAUUUCACAUGAUUAAUUGGAUGUUAUUAAAAUUUUUUCAUCAAUUCUGUCAUGCAUUAUUGAUUGUUAGGAUUAAUAUUCAAUUAAAUCUAUACUUAGAUUUAUAACGUUUAUACAUGAUUAUCUUUGAUUCUAUGUCUUUCAUUAAAUUGUUUACAUGGAGUGCUUAGGAAAACUUUGACUCUUUGUUAUUCAAUAUGUUCACAUGGGAUACUUAGAUGUCAUACUAUUAAGCGGAAAAAGAACCUAUAUUAGAUUUAAUUAUUUGGGCUUAAUUGUUAUAUCCAUGAGAUGACACAAAUUGAUUUCGAGUUGUCACUCUAAAAUUAGAGAUUAAUGAAUAUUUAGAUAAUUACUAGUUGAAUAGCGGUGGAUUCUGAAACCUUGGUAAUUUCUAUCUUAUUGAAUUCUCCUUUACUUUAAUUGUUUUCUUAGUUUAAUUAAUUUAAUUUCUUUUAAAACUCAAUUUGCUUAACUAGGUUAGAAUUAAUAUUAAUUUUAGAUUUAAAUUAGACUUUUCAAUUUAUAACAAUCCAUGUGGGAUCGACCUCGUUACCACUACUUUAUUUCUAGAUUCGUGCACUUGCGAGUAUAUUAAAAUUUUCACAACAAGUUUUUGGCGCCGUUGCCGGGGAUUGUGCCAGAAAGUCAGUUUAAUCUAGGUUGAUUUGAUUCUUCCACUAGUUAUAAUUUAUGUUGUCUUUUAUUUUAUUAUUAUUUUUAAUUAACAAAAACACACAAAAAAACUUUUAUUUUUCUUUAAAUUCAUUGUUUGGUUGUUUGAUUUCUUUUAUUUUUUAAAUUUUGUUUAUUCUCAUUAUUGUUGGUUUAUUUUAUUUUAUUUUUUUCUUUCCUUGUCUAGUUAGUUUAUGAGUGUUUGGGAAUGUGAUUCAACAAAUCGUUUGGUAAAAGAGAGUCAAAAAUUGAUAGUAGUCAAGUUAGUUCUUCUGAAGUCAUGGAUGACCCAAAUAGAUUAUUGCCAAUACUUCCACCAGUGCAAGCAGAGAAAACCCUUAGAGAAUAUUUUUCACCACUUGCAGCCAACCAACCAUCUUGUAUUGUGUUGCCACAAACUACAGCAACACACUUUGAACUUUUUGAACUUAAGCCCUCAGUCAUCCAACUUUUACCAUCUUUCCAUGGGUUAGAGAGAGAGGAUCCAUAUUUGCACAUUAAGGAAUUUCUUGACAUAUGCUCUACAUUCCGUUUUCAAAAUUUUAAUGAUGAGUUAAUCAGGCUUCGUAUGUUAUCUUUCUCAUUAAAAGACAAAGCAAAAGCUUGGUUGAAUUCGCUUUCUGCUGGGUCUAUAACUACGUGGGAUGAAUUGAAUAAUAAGUUCCUCACCAAGUUUUUCCCUAUGUCUAAAACAAAUGCCCUUAGGAGAGAGAUAAGUGAUUUCUAUUAAAGAGAGGGUGAGCAAUUUUAUGAGUGUUGGGAAAGAUUCAAUGAUUUACUCCUCAAGUGCCCCCACCAUGGUUUUGAGAAAUGGAGACUUAUACAAUGCUUUUAUAACGGUUUAACCAUGUCGAAUCGUCAUAUGGUAGAGUCUAUGAAUGGUGGGAGAUUUUUGAACCUACAUGAAGGGGCUGCAUGGGAUUUCUUUAAUUCACUUUCUGAGAAUUCUCAACAGUGAGAUUUUUCAAGCCAAAGGGAAAAAUCAUCUCAAGUUUCUAGAAAGGGGUUAUAUGAAGUUAAGGAUGAUUUUGAUGUGAAAUCCACUCUAAUUACACUUUCUAGAAAAGUAGAUGCCUUAGCUCUGAACCAAUCAAUGAAUCAUCAUCCUAGUGUAGCUAAUGAGGUUUGUGCUAUUUGUUCUAACUUGUCUCAAACAGCACAAAACUGUCCAUCAUUACCAGUCUAUCCAGAGGCUUAUUCUGAGCAGGUACAUGCCUUACAAUCAUAUGAGAAAACCUCCAAUAAUACAUAUUCACUCACAUAUAAUCCUAAUUGGAGGAAUCACCCUAAUUUUUCUUGGAAACAAAAUCAAUCUUUGUCAAACCAAGGAGGACAACAAUUUAACAUGCCCAAUCAACAAUUUGUCCCUCCUAACCAAGUAUAUCCUCCUGCCCAACAACCUAUAUCUCAAUUUGUUACACCCCAACAAAGAAAACCUUCUUUAGAGGAUACACUUCAAAGUUUCAUUCAGUCAACCUAAUAAGCUUUUCAGUCAAACACUCAAGCUAUUCUAAAGCUUGAACAUCAAUUGGGUCAAUUAGCAACUACUGUAGCGGAGAAAGAAAAAAGAAAAUUCCCCAGUCAAUCAAUUCCUAAUCCUAAAGGAGUGCAUGAAGUUGGAUCGAGUUCAAGCCAUCAGCAUGAAGAAGCAAAAUCAAUUAUGACCUUGAGAAGAGGAAAAUUGUUUGACAACAAAGUGGAGGUUCAAACAAAGAAGACAUCUGAGCCUACUUCUUCAGAUCCAAUUACAUCACAAGAAUCAUCACCAAAUGAUCUUGAAGAGAGUGACCCGCUAGCUUACAUUCCCAAGGCUCAUUUUCCUCAAAGGUUAACAAAGGUAAAGAAAGGGACUUCAACAUGUGAGAUUAUAGAAAUCUUCAAGCAGGUAAGUAUAAACAUCCAUUUACUCGAUGCUAUUAAGCAAGUUCCUUCCUAUGCCAAGUUUUUGAAAGAUUUAUGCACUAAAAAGAGAAAUUUGCAUGUCACUAAAAAGGCGUUUUUAACUGAACAAACUAGCAAUUUACUUCAAUGUAAAAUGCCACCAAAAUUUAAGGAUCCUGGUUCUCCUACUAUUUCAUGUGUUAUAGGGAACCAAUGUUUUGAUAAAGCAUUAUUGGAUUUAGGUGCUAGUGUUAAUCUCUUACCUUAUUCCAUUUACAUGCAGCUUGGACUAGGUGAGUUAAAAUCAACUCCUAUUAUUUUGCAACUUGCUGAUAGGUCAAUGAAAAUACCUCGUGGUAUUAUAGAGGAUGUGUUGAUACAGAUUGACAAAUUUUAUUAUCCUGUUGAUUUUAUUGUUAUUGAUACUCAACAUGUACAUGAUCUUAAGAAACACACUCCACUUAUUCUUGGUCGUCCUUUCUUAGCUACAGCUGAUGCUCAUAUUAGUUGCAGGACUUGAAACAUGCAAUUGUCUUUUGGUAACAUGACCAUGGAAUUAAAUAUUUUUAAUGUUCCCAAGCAGGCACAAGAAGAUGAUGAAGUCGUUGAAGUAGAUAUGAUAGAAGCAUCAAUUGAUGACUCACUUAUUUCUAACCAUUGUGACAAUCCAUUAAUACCUUGCACAACUGACUCUGAUUUCUCUAUUGAUGUUGAUAGUGAUAUUGAAGAAGUUAAUGCUUUACUUGAUUCGACUCUUAUCAUAGAUCUAAUUAAGUGGAAAGAAAAGAUAAGAUUGAGCCACUUCCUCCUGAAGAGAAAAGUGCAACAUAGGUCACAUUCUGACAUAAAAAAGGUGGUAAGAUCUAAAACGCUUAAAUUAUUAGAUUUUUAUACUACUUUAGAUAACUCUCAGGAAAGCUUAGAACAGAAGAGAUCAAAGCAAUGCGAUAUUGAGGAGUUUCAUUACCAUCAUCCUUUUAUGGAUAAAAUGCUCCAGUGCUUAAUCAAUUAUGCUUUUUGGUAUUUUCUAUAUAAUUGCUUUAAUUUUCACCAAAUUCUUAUUGAUCCUGGUUGAUUUGUUGUUUACAUUAAUUAGUUAGUUAGUCGGAUUUUUUUAUUAUUAUUUAUAUUUCUUCUAACGUUUUCUUUUGAGUUGUCAUUCUUUUAAGUUUUCCUAGCUCAGUCAGGUGUGUUCUCUCCAACUUUCUCUUUUAUUAUUUAUGUUUUUAUUUUUCAUCUUUUUGCGUGCAUAUCUUUUAUUUAUGACACAUUGAGGACAAUGUUCCGAAUAAGUUUGGGGGUGGGAAUAAUGUUGCUUUGUUUGUUAAAAAAAACUAAAAAAAAAUUUCAAAAAUUCAAAAAAAAAUUGUGUUUUUUUUGUUUUUACGUGAAAAGCCAAUGAUAAAAACUUGAUUGACAAUGAAUAUGGUUUUUAGAAAGGGUUUAAUAUUGUCUUAAUUUAUACUUGAUUCUUAUGUUAGUUCCUCUUGAUUGAGAUUCUUUAAAAUAUAAGCACUAAUAUCAAUUCUUUCAUAAUUUUGACUUGAAAUUUGAGAUUGACGCAGCCUGAGUUGAGAAUUUUAGAUAGAGUAAAUGACUGUUUGUCUUUAUUCUUAUCUCCACAAUACAAAAUAGUAUACACAGGCACCAAAGUCAGAAAUAACUACCUAUAAUCCUUAAGAGUGAAGCUAUCCUUGAGUAAUUUAGGCCUAUGUACCACAAGUAUGUAGAGGAUAAUCUACCAUGAGAAGAAUGCUACCUUAAGGGGUAGAGUGAAAGCUCCUGACUAUGGUUAAAAAAAAAAGAAGAAGAAAAAGAGAAAGAAAAAAUCAAAUCAAGUGCAUGUGCUGAAAAAAAAAUCAAAAGAAAAUGCACAUAAAAGCCUGUGAAAAAAAAAUUGGAGAUUAAGAUGAUAAGAUUAGCUUGACCUACUCUUUUCUUUUUUUGAGGCGAAGGUUGUUGAUAUUGAAGAUUUUAGGAAUGAAUUUGAUUGAAUUGAUUUCACACACACACAACAAGAAUCGAAAGAGAGAUGGGAUUGAUUAUUGAAUUAAAGUUAGAACUUUGCCAAUAUUUGAAAUUUUGUUUGAGCUAUAUAAUUUAUGCAAUCUUUGAGGGUAUUUUCAUAUUUUAUUUAAAGUUUUUUUUUCUUUUUAUUUUAUUUUAUUUAUUUUUUAUUUUUUUAAAAUGAUGUUUGUGGGUGUCAUCACUGAAGCUCUCACGAGACUAUAACUCGUCCACUAGGGGUUUAAAGGCUUGUUGCAUACGCUAAAUGCAAUCGCGAUUACCUGCGAAAAUGGUUUAGUUAGGAUUUACUUUUUGUUUUGUUAUUUUUUUUUUUUUUUUUAGUUUUAGCUUUGCUCGAGGACUAGCAAAAUCUAAGUUUGGGGGUAUUUGAUGAGCAUAAUUUAUAUACAUAUUUUACCUUUAAUUAUAUAAUUAUUAGUUAUCUUUAUUAGUUAUUUUUAAUUAAUUGAAUUAUUUUAUUGCAUAGGGAAUUAAUUGGAGAUUGGGAAACAAAAAGUGCAUAAAGAAUAACAAGUUUGGGAAAGCAUCAAUCAAAGCCAUGACACAAUUAAGAGUUUAUAGCAUAUGAAGGCAAGAGUAAUUUGCACUAAAAAAGAAUUUCAAUUAUUCAAGUGAUCUGGACGUGCAUAGUAUUGUAAUGCAUGGAAAGCAACUUAAAGGGGCCCACACUUGGCUUUUACAAUUGGAAAAAGGAAUCCUAGUGCAAGCUUAAUUGGUGAGCACGUGAGUGAGAGCAAAGAAAAUUAAAAGGCCAAGCCUUUUGGCUUAAGGAAAUAACAAGGUCGGUGGGGCCCAUUUUAAAGAGUAAUAUAAAAGCAAGCUUUUGGCUUUUGGAGAGAGAAGCCGCCAGAGGAGGAAAACGCGAGACAAAGAGAAGAAAAUAUGCCGCAGUUCGACUUCUAUGGUUGGUUUUAUCUCUUUUGUUACUCUUAAUUCAAGUAUGUCUAGCUAAUUUUCUUAUAUUGAAGUUAAGGAUGAAAUCAUAUUCAAUGAAAUAAUUAUCUUUUUAUUUAUUUAAUUCCCAUAUAUGUUCUUUAAUGAUUAUGAUUUUUAUUUCACAUGAUUAAUUGGAUGUUAUUAAAAUCUUUUCAUCAAUUCUGUCAUAUAUUAUUGAUUGUUAUGAUUAAUAUUAAAUUAAAUCUAUACUUGGAUUUAUAAAGUUUAUACAUGAUUAUCUUUGAUUCUAUGUCUUUCAUUAAAUUGUUUACAUGGAGUGCCUAGGAAAACUUUGACUCUUUGUUAUUCAAUAUGUUCACAUGGGAUACUUAGAUGUCGUACUAUUAAGCGGAAAAAGAACCUAUAUUAGAUUUAAUUAUUUGGGCUUAAUUGUUAUAUCCAUGAGAUGACAUAGAUUGAUUUCGAGUUGUCACUCUAAAAUUGGGGAUUAAUGAAUAUUUAGAUAAUUACUAGUUGAAUAGUGGUGGAUUCUGAAACCUUGGUAAUUUCUAUCUUAUUGAAUUCUCCUUUACUUUAAUUGUUUUCUUAGUUUAAUUAGUUUAAUUUCUCUUAAAACUCAAUUCGCUCAACUAGGUUAGAAUUAAUAUUAAUUUUAGAUUUAAAUUAGACUUUUCAAUUUAUAACAAUCCCUGUGGGAUCGACCUCGUUACCACUACUCUAUUUCUAGAUUCGUGCGCUUGCGAGUAUAUUAAAAUUUUCACAACAUUCGGCACUCUCACUCCUUAAGAGAGGUCAGGGGUUCAAGCCUCGCUCUCGUAUGGAGUCACCACUUUGACCAGCACUUUACCCCUUACAGACCGACCCGGUGCGAGCAUGAAUUAGUCUGGGUUGUGGUACGGGCUUAAAGGUGCCUCCCACAAUUGAGACCCACUCAGGACCACCUCGUGGUUCGGACAAAAAAAAAAUUGAAAUAAAUUAUCUCAAAAUAAUUACUAACCAGAAAAAACAAAGGGGUUUAACUAGGUUAUGCAUACCUUUGAAAAUUAUAUGUUGAUCGAUAAGCAUGAUGAUCACGAUUGAGGAGUUUAAUUAAAAUUUAUAAGAUUUUAAAAUUAAUCAGGGUUAAAUUCUAAAUUUUAGAAAGAGAGGUUUUGUGAGAAUGCUGAAAGGGUGUUAAUAGUUCCACUCUUUUUUAAAAAAACCAUAGUCAUCAUUUUUCCCGAUUUCUUCUUCCCAUCUCCAUCUUAUUUAGAAAUUUCCCAGAGCCUUUGUUUCCCACCAUUCAUUUUUCUUCUUUCUAAUUUAAGAUUAUAGUAUUAUAAAAAUAAUUACUCACAUUUUAUCAAACACCUCCAUUAUACCAAGGCCUUGUUUUAGUAGUAGGCUUUUAUUAUCUCAAUAAAAUUGAAAAAACAAAGCUCAAUAAUAUUGGAAAAAAAACCUACCCAUAUUUGUAACUUUAAUUUAUUAUUCUCCAUAGACCUACUUUUUAGCUUUGAAUUUUGUUGGAGCCAUAUAUAAACAGAAUAUGUUGAAAUCAGCACAAAAAAAAAACUAAUUAUAUAAUUUUUGUUCCCAAGGACACGACUGUGUGAUUUUUAAGAAGUUUUGUUUGGCUGGCCACUUAGGUUUAAAUCUUGGUGGAGAUUAGGGGUUAAGAAAUAAAUUUGGACUUUGCACACCCCUUUAACUUUUAAAAAGAAUGAAAAAAACUAAUUAAUUAAUCUUUAUUUUAUUUAUUAAAUGUCAUAAUCAUAUGCAUAUUUUAUUUGUUAUCUUUCUAUUUAAAAGAUAGGAGGGCAAAUAAAACUGAAAUAAAUGUUUAUCCCUAUCUCCAUCUUUCAAGUUCCAUAGUUAGGUGACCAGCUAAAGAAAAUUAAUUGAAAGUUACUCCAUCAAAUUAAAAAAAAUUAUUUAUUUAAUUUGUGGAGAUGUAGAAAAUCAAACCCCAUACCUUUUCGCAUGCAAAAGUGUCAACCUGGUCUAGCUAUGUUGCAACAGUAAACAUAUUUUAAUACAUGACUAUCAUCUUUUAUCCUAAAUACUACUAUAACUAUGGGUUCAGUUAUGCUGUAACUGUGGUAUGGUACCACAGUUGUUUUCAACCAUUAAAUUCAACUUAUAUAACUAUGCAACUGUAGAUCUAACGGCUGAAAGCAACUAUGGUACCAUACCACAGUUGCAACAUAGUUUUGCCCCUAUAACUCAUAACAUUCAAUUGAAAUAAUAAAUGUUAACACUUGGCUAUAAAUAAAGGUUUUGUACUUGAAUCUUCAUGCAUGACCUUCAUUCCUUUAUUGACUUUGCUAACACAGAUUUUGAGGCAUUAAAACUAAAUAAUAAUUGACUUUGUGGGCCGAGGAUGCCAGCAACAAGGAGACCACAAUUAUCACUAGUUAAGUUACUCUAAUUGCCGUUGUCUUAUAUUCAUAAAAUAUUAGUAAUAAGAUUAUUGUAGAAUUUUUUUAUAUUAAAAUUAAGUCAAUUUGUUAUAACAAAUUUAGUUGAGUUUAAUCGUGUUACUACAUACAUUGAAUAAUAAUAGAAUUCUCGACAAAUAUUUCAAUAUUUUUAUCCCAAGCGUUGGAGUGGCAUUUAUUUGUUAGACAAUCGAUUUUAGAACUUAUAAAAUUAUUCGUUACUGAAUUGCACCAUAUGCUGCAUGACCUGAAACUUAAUAAACGGAACGUAGCGUUGGCAACAUUCACUGUCAUGACUUUGUGACAUUAGAAUUAAAUUUUUUUGCACAUUUAAUUUGUUUACUUCCAAAUUAAUAUUUAACAAAAUAUUUUUUCACAUUAUCAAUGGACAAAACUCCAACGAAAAUAACUAUACAAUAUAUGCUAGUAUUGUAUGCCAUAUCAUCUGUAAUUUUGUCAGGAUCGAUCAUUUUAAUUUUUAAGCAAAACUUUUUAUCAAUGGACAAACACCUCACACAGCUUGUCAGAGGCAUUAUUAUGAUGGAAAACUGAUAAACAGUGAACUCGAAACUCAAUUACUACAAGUCGUUUAGAGGAUUCAGUCUUGGAUGACUUGUCACUUGUGGAAUUCUUGAAGCCAGAACCGACAUAAUCUCAGUCGUCAUUCUGUCUUAAGUAAUACACAUGGUUUGCAUGUGUGUUGAAGCUGACUCUUUGCUUGGAUCAAGAAACGACGUCUUUGAGUGCCGUUUCUUAAACACACUUUAAAUCAGCUUGUGUCAAGCACGUGAGGUAGAGCUUUUUGAAUAGAUUUGGCGGGAAUGGUAGUUAGUGUAACAACCCAGAAAUAGAGGUUAAAAGGUGAAGGCUUUGUCAUCAUCUACACAUGAUUUGGGAAACAUUGAGAGUAGAGAAAAAGAUAGAGAGAGAAAGGGGUUAACAAGUUCUUGUUCUCUGUAAAUCGAUUUAUAUUCUUGUAAAGUUUGUGAUCUCAAUUAGUGAAAGACUGUUGCUUUGUUUCCAGUGGAUGUAGGCACCACUUCUUGGUGCUGAACCACUUAUACUUGGUGUCAUAUUGUUUCUUUAAUGCUUUGAUUCUUGCGUGUGAUUGUUGCUGGAUAAUCUGUGCUGUUAAUUCUCAAACCAUUGAUACAGAAUUAAUGUCUUGGGGAGAAUUUGGUUAGUCUUAUCAAAGCCGAAUUCACAACAAAUUGGUAUCAGAGCCCUCUUUUCUGUAUCAAGGUUCAAGAAAUGACUAACAAGGUGGAUCUUGAGAAGUUCAAUGGUCAGAAUGAUUUCAAUAUGUGGAGGAUCAAGAUGGAAGCAUUGUUAAUCACACAAGGUCUGGGAGAUGCCAUUGAUCCAGUCAUUAAGAGUGAAAAUGCAGAAGCCUAUUCUUCAAGAACUCCAGAACAGAUGGCUAAGAUUGAAAAAAAGGCAAGAAGCACCAUCAUCCUCAGUCUUGGUGACUUAGUGAUAAGGGAAGUUGCCAAGAAAAAGACUGUUGCUAGGCUCUGGGCAAAACUGGAACAAUUGUAUAUGACAAAGUCCUUAGCAAACAGGCUAUACAUCAAGAAAAAGAUGUUCUCACUGAGGAUGAUUGAAGGAGCAUCACUUGAUGAACACAUAGAUGAGUUUAAUAAAGUUUGUGAUGAACUGGAAACAAUUGAUGAAGGACUGAGUGAUGAGAGCAAGGCUUUGCUGUUAAUCAGUUCUUCACCAAAAUCAUAUGAACAUUUUGUGGAUGCCUUGUUAUAUGGAAGGCAAUCACUCUCCUUGGAAGAGGUUAAAUCUACUCUUGGUACCAAGAAGUUAAAAGAAAAACAAGAUAACUCAGAGAGUGAAUCAAGUGAAGGGCUGAUGGCAAGGGGCAGAUCUGAAAAAAAGGAGUACAAAGGAAAAAAACAAGGGAGAUCAAAGUCAAAGCAGAAACAUUUGAAGUGUUUUCACUGCCACAAAGAAGGGCAUUUCAAGAGGGAUUGCCCUGAGAGAAAAACAAAGCAAAAGGAAUCAAAAGACAAAUCUGGAAAUACAGCAAUAGCCACAGAAGAAACCAGUUUUGAGAUAGCUGAAGUCCUCAUUGCCACAAAAGAAAAAAACUCAAGGUCAGUGGGUACUAGACUCUGGAUGUACUUUUCAUAUGAGUCCAAAUAGAAAUUACUUUACUACAUAUCAGUCCUGUGAUGGGGGUAUGGUGCUGAUGGGAAAUAAUUCAGUUUGUAAAGCAGUUGGGAUUGGGACUGUAAGCCUUAAGAUGUAUGAUGGCAUGGUUAGAGAACUAACUCAGUUUAGGCAUGUUCCUGAGCUUAAAAGGAACCUAAUAUCUAUUGGCAUGCUUGAUCAAACUGGAUGUGUCAAUAAGGCUGAAAAUGGGUCAUUGAAAGUUAUCAGAGGCUCAAUAGUCAUAAUGAAAAGUUCCAAGCAAAAUGGUUUGUAUGUGUUGAAUGGACAUACAACUGUUGGAGAGGCAAGUGUCACUGAGAAGAGUGAAGACAAAGCAAGACUAUGGCACUUGAGGUUGGGGCAUAUGAGUGAAAGGGGAUUGAAGGAGCUUCAAAAGAAUGGGGUGUUUGGAAGUGACAAGCUAAGUUCUUUGGGGUUCUGUGAAGACUGUAUCCUAGGGAAGGCUUCCAAUCUCAAGUUUGAAUCUGCAGUUCAUUCUACCAAAGAGAAGCUUGCAUAUAUACACUCUGAUAUGUGGGGGCCUGCACAGGUAAAUUCUCUUGGUGGCUUUAAGUAUUUCUUAUCCUUAAUAGAUGACUAUUCAAGGAUGGUUUGGGUGUAUGUACUCAAAACCAAAGAUGAAGCUUUGGAAAAGUUUUAGAGGUGGAAAAUUCUGGUAGAAACACAGACAAGUUUGAAAGUAAAAGCUCUAAGAACAGAUAAUGAAUUGGAAUUCUGCAACAAAGAGUUUGGAGACUUUUGUAAAAGACAUGAGAUUAUGAGGCACAAAACAGUCAUACACACACCUCAGCAAAAUGGUUUUGCUGAGAGAAUGAACAGAACCUUAAUGGACAAGGUGAGGUGUAUACUGCUAUACUCAAAGCUGCCUAAGUCACUCUGGGCAGAGGCCUUAAACACAGCAUGUUACUUGGUAAAUAUAAGUCCAUCUACAGCAAUAGAAUGCAAAACACCUAUCGAGCUAUGGUCUGGAAGGGUUGCAGAUUACUUUAAACUGAGAAUCUUUGGAUGUGUUGCUUAUGCAUAUGUCAAACAAGGCAAAUUGGAGCCAAGAGCUUUAAGGUGUAGAUUUCUAGGAUACCCUGAUGGAGUUAAAGGCUAUAGGCUAUGGUGCAUUGAUUUGAAGCCACCAAAAUGCAUUAUCAGCAGGGAUGUAACUUUCAAUGAGUCAGAAAUCUUGAACAAAUCCAAAACCACUUAAUCCAAAGAUCAUAUAUCAGAAACAAGACCUGGGAGUGUUCAGUUUGAGGUGGAGUCCUAUGAACAAGAUAGGACUGAAUCAGAAACUGAAGGAGAUUCAGGAAGGGUUACUGAUGGAUUUGAUGUUGUUCAGGAGUCAGAGCCAGCUGAGAAUGAAGAUAAUUCUUAUCAGUUGGUCAGGGAUAGAAAGAAGAGAGCUGUAAGACCACCUAAGAGGUAUACAAUAGCAGAUUUCAUAGCUUAUACAUUAACAGUUGCACAAGAGGUAAAUGAGGAAGAGCUAAGAACCUAUAAAGAAGCUAUAAACAGCAUGGAUAAGAUGAAAUGGAAGGAGGCUAUGGAUGAGGAAAUUGAAUCACUAAUGAAAAAUGGAACUUGGAAGCUGAUAGUUAGACUAGAAAAAAGGAAGACUGUUAGCUGCAAAUGGAUCUUCAAAGUUAAGGAAGGUAUAUCUGAUGCUGAACCUAGUAGGUUUAAAGCUAGGCUGGUAGCAAGAGGCUUCACACAAAGAGAGGGGAUUGAUUUCCAUGAAAUCUUCUCUCUAGUUGUGAAACAUGCCUCCAUCAGAGUCAUCUUAGCUUUAGUUGCCAUUCAAGACAUGUACCUGGAGCAUAUGGAUGUUAAAACAGCCUUCCUGCAUGGUGAAUUACAAGAAGAAAUUGUAAUGGAACAGCCUGGGGGGUAUGUGGUGUCUAGUAAGGAAAAUCAUGUGUGCUUACUAAAGAAAUAUUUAUAUGGAUUAAAGCAGUCUCCUAGGCAAUGGUACUUGAAGUUUGAUAGUUUUAUGACAAAACAUGCCUACAAGAAAUGCAAUUAUGAUUGUUGCGUGUACUUUAGGGACAUUGGUGAUGGAAAGAUGAUUUAUCUUAUGCUGUAUAUGGAUGACAUGCUUAUAGCAUGUCACAGCAUAGAUGAAAUCAGUCAUUUAAAGAAUCUCUUGAGCAGUGAAUUCGAUAUGAAAGAUCUUGGAGCUGUAAGGAAGAUCUUAGGUAUGGAAAUUAUCAGAGACAGGAGAAGGAAGCUUAUGUUUUUAACCCAACAGAGCUAUGUUAAGAAGGUGUUGCUUAGAUUUGGGAUGCAUGAAUCCAAGUCUGUUCAAACACCUUUGGCAAAUCACUUCAAGCUGUCUGCUGCACAUUGUCCACAAACUGAUGCAGAGCAAGGAAAAAUGGCAAGGAUACCUUACUCCAGUGCAGUUGGGAGCCUCAUGUAUGCCAUGGUUCUCACUAGACAUGAUAUCUCACAUGCUGUGAGUAUAGUGAGUAGAUUCAUGGCAAAUCCAGGUUAUGAGCAUUGGAGGGCAGUCCAGUGGAUAAUGAGGUACCUGAAAGGCACUAUGGAGUUUGGUCUGCUAUAUGGAGGGUUAAAACAGGAAGGGCACAAGCUGGUGGGGUAUGUUGACUCAGACUUCGCUGGAGAUCUUGAUAAAAGGAGGUCUCAGACAUGUUUUAUAUUCACUUUGGGAGGCUGCACUGUGAACUGGAAAGCUACUCUGCAAAGUGUGGUAGCUUUGUCCACAACUGAAGCCGAAUAUACAGCAGCUGCAGAAGCUUUUAAGGAAGUCAUCUGGUUAAAAGGAAUGGUCUCAGAGUUAGGAGCAAAACAAGAAACAGUUGAAGUAUACUGUGAUAGCCAGAGUGCAAUACAUUUGAGUAAAAACCAGACCCAUCAUGAAGGAACAAAACAUAUUGAUGUAAAGCUUCAUUUUGUAAGACUUGAAGUUUCAAAGGGAACUGUGAAGAUGCUCGAGGUUCACACUGAUCAAAAUCCAACCGAUAUGUUGACUAAAGCUGUGCCUUCUGCCAAGCUCAACUUCUGUUUGAGCUUAGCAGGAAUUUGCAGUUUCUGAUCAGCUGCAAAAGAAAGGGAAUAAAGUAUACAGGAGUAGCUAGAGUUCAGAGUUCACACUGAUUAAAAGGUGCAGGCUUUGUCAUCGUCUACACAUGAUUUGGGAAACACAGAGAGUAGAGAAAAAGAUAGAGAGAGAAAGGGGUUAACAAGUUCUUGUUCUCUGUAAAUCGAUUUCUAUUCUUGUAAAGUUUGUGAUCUCAAUUAGUGAAAGAUUGUUGCUUUGUUUCCAGUGGAUGUAGGCACCACUUCUUGGUGCUGAACCACUUAUGCUUGGUGUCAUAUUGUUUCUUUAAUGCUUUGAUUCUUGCGUGUGAUUGUUGCUGGAUAAUCUGUGCUGUUAAUUCUCAAACCAUUGAUACAGAAUUAAUGUCUUGGGGAGAAUUUGGUUAGUCUUAUCAAAGCCGAAUUCACAACAAAAACUGUAAUGGUAUAUCUUGAAUUAUUGGUAGAAUAGUUCUUUGGAGCAAUAAAAACAGAUAAGACAGAUGAGAAAAUUGUCAAUACCCCACCGCAAAAGCAAAAGAAAACAAGGAAAGGAGACAAAAGAGGAAGAAGAAAAAGAAAAAAGAACGAAGAAAAAAAUGGUGCCGUGCGGUAUAGGCAAGAAGAAAAAAUAAUAAAAAAUAAUAAAAUAAUAGUGCACAACAAUCAUUUGAUUGCUAUAAAUAAAAGGCGUUUCCCUCAUUUUAUUCAUCGAAUUCUUCAGUUCCUUUCAAGCGAUUUAAGAGUCUAGUGAUUUGAGAGUUUGGGUGUAGUAUGAUUUUGGGUAGUGAGCUAAAAUACUACAAUACUUGUAACUCAUUUUUAUUAGUAAAAUAUUUUCCUUCUGACUUCGCCCGUGGACGUAUGCUAAAAGCCGAAUCACGUAAUUUCUGGUGUCCCUAUGUGAUUAUGUGUCUCAUUAUUUCUUAAUUUCACUUUAGUUGCGUGUCUGCGACACCCCUCAAUUUAUUAACAAAAAAUGGCCAAAAUUAUAUAAGUGACCCAAAUUUUUUUGUUAUUUCCAAGAAAUCCCCAAUCUGAAUGGGCUAGACCAGAGGGAGGCAAGUUAGAAAUACAUUUCCUUCAUAGACAAUAACAGUGAUGAGUCGAUGACAUCAAGCCACGUCGGUAUCAAUAUUGAAUUAAAGGUGCAAUUAUUCAGCCAAUGAACCUUACACAUCAAGAUAAAAGUCAAGAAAAUGAAAAUUUAUCCCAAUUAAAACACUUUCUGGCUGCAUUUAGUUGUUUCCAUUAGAAGUUAAAAACAACGUUUCUUUCGUUUUGUGGGCAACUCAACUGAGUUAGCUGGCUUCUAGUGCUAGUAUGUGAAAAUAGAAGGCUAAUGAUUUAUUUAUUAUCUUUUGACAAAAUUAUUAAAGAUAUAAUAGAUUUUCUAUGAUACAAGUGAAAAAUCACAUCAACAUAGCUUUCAAUCUACAGCAGCUAGCGUUUACCAAACACUUUGUUGUAGCUUUUAAGCUAUAGCUGCCCAACCUCAAUCUCAAACGCACCCUUAAUAGGUUGAUUGAAUUUGUGAGAUAUGGAUUCCACAUAUCUCAUGACCUAGUAAUUAUACAAGUGGUUCGUGAUCAAGACACAACAUUUGCUUCCGGCCUAGUGACCCAGCAAUCGCUGCACUGGUCGCCACCUAUGGUGCCGACGAUAUUGCAUGGUCCAAUUGUGGCCUUGAAUGGAAAAAGUUGAGCAAAUUAUUUGUGGACACGAUGAUAAGUAACGCAAGCCUUGAUGCUAGUUAUGGUCAAAGAAAACAAGAGGUUAAGAAUACUAUCAGAGAUAUUCAUAACAACAAAAAGGAAAAAAAAAAGGCAUUUGCAAGCCCAUUGAUAUUGGUGAAUUGUCGAUUUCAACUUUGGCAUGUGUAAUCCAGAACCUGCGCGCUGUGGUAUGGCGCUGGCACGCUUGCAUUAACGAGGGGACAAGUCUUGGGGCUGAGCUAACAUUUAAGCUCGCAGAACUCAUGGUGCUAAUGGGAACACCAAAUAUUUUUUUGACAUAUUUUGGUGCUUUCAUGGUUUAAUUCAAGGUAUAGAAAGGAGUGUUGAGAAUGUCAAAUAAAACGGCAUUGAAUGGAAGUUGUCAAAGACACGAUCCGCACCGAACGGCAACGACACGGUUGCUAAAAAUCCUUCCAUAAUAUGCAUAUCUAAUUUUUUAAAAAGUGUAACCUCUGCAUUUAUAAAUAUACUCAAUGUAUAAUGUUUUACUUAAGAAAUGAAAAACUUGUUUGUUCAAGGAGAAUAAAGAAAAUUUUUCUAUGAUUUUUUUAUGGUUUGAACAAAGAAGGUUUUAAUGAGUAUUAUAGACCUCGAUUGAAUGUUCGAAUGUAUAAUAAAAGAGAAACUGUCACAUAAAUGACAAAGAUACUUGGAAAAAAAAAAAGGGCAGCAAUAGAGAAUUAGAUUCGACUGCACAAAUAACUAGUUAAUUCAUCAAUACAUCAUUUUCUUGCUAGAAAAUGACAAUUAUGACAGCAAGCCACGAUAGUGUCAAUAUUGAAAUUGAUUUGCAAUUAUUCAGCCAAUGUGCCUUACACGUCAAGAUAAAAGUCAAGAAAAUGAAAGUUAAUAUCAAUUAAAACACUUCCUGGGCCGCAUUUAGCUCCAGUUUUUGUGGUAGGAAAACAAAGUUUUGUUUUAAAUUCACAUGGUGUGCACUUCCUAUAUAAAUCUAGAGUUGUGUCCCACGUUGAACAAUAAAGGAAAGUCACCUAAAUAUACAUGUAGGAUAAGUUACUUUAUUUAGUAAGUUUGUAUUUUCUUCUUUCUUCUAGUUUACAUAUAAAUUUGAUUAGAUAACUUAACACAUAUUUUAAUACUUGAUCAGAAGCCCUACGUACAGGUGGAUCUAGAAACUUGAUUUCUAAGAGUAAUACUAUAAUAAAAAAAUAAUGAUUCAUAGAACCAAUAUCAAAAUUUGUUUACAAGAUUACCCCCACUCAAAGGUAAUUUUCAUAGAAAUUAAUAGGAAAUUUAAUUGUUAGUGGGGUCAAAUUGCCCCCACACUCUGAAUGUAGAUCCACGCCCGACCCUGAGUCAAGUAUAUUUUGCCACAUAUACUCUGAAUGUCGGCAGGAAAAAUCUUCCACUUUAGUUUAAAAUUUUCACUUAAAAUUUAUUUACGUUAAUAAAGUUGGUAAAGGAAAUGAGUUUAAUUAAAGAAUAUUAUAGGAGAAAUUCUAUUGUUUGGCUUUUAAUAAAUUAAUUAAUAGGUUUAAAAAGAUUAAUAUACAUCAAAAUAUUAUUAGUUGGUGGUGGUUCCACAUCGGACUAAGACGUGGCACCUUACUUGUGAGAUUAAGACAAUCAGGCUUAGACUAUUUAAAUAUGUUUGAAGCUUAGAUGGCACCGCUUCAAUUUGCAUUAAUGAAUGUCAUUCUUUACCCUAAUUACUACGUAAUUGAUAACAUGCAAUUGAAAUAACUAAUAUUAGCACUUGGCUAUAAAUGAACUAAAGGCCGUGCAAUUGAAUCUUUACUUGAUCACUUCAUUCCUUUAUUUUGCUAACACAGAUUUUGAGAUAUUAAAACGAAAUAAUAAUUGAAUCUGGCUUUGUGGGUCGAUGAUGCCAGCAACAACGAGACCACAAUUAUCACUUGUUUAUUUGCUGUAUUUGACGUUGUUUCAUAUUGGUAGUAAUAACUAAUAAGGUCGUUGUAGAGUUUUUAAUCUUUUUUUUUAUAUUAAUCACGAGGUAUCCUGGGGAGGGCCCCAACUGUGGGAGGCACCUUUAAGCUCGUACCACAACCCAGACUAGAAGUCCCCGCUCGAACCGGGAGGCACAGUUUUUAAUCUUUUUUAUAUUAAAGUUAAGUCAAUUUGUUAUAAAUAAAUAAAAAAUUGGUUGAGUUUAAUUAUAUUGCUAUGUACAUUAAAUAAUUAUAAUAUUCUCGAGGGAAAAAGACACCUAGAACCUCAAGGUUUGGGGAAAUGGUCACAAAAACUCCUAAGUUUUAAAAAAGGAACACUAAAAUCUUUUUUUACCCAUAAUACCCUUUGACUAUAGUAAUUAGAAAAUUGACUUUAAAGGUUUUUAAAUAAUACAAAUUUAAUAUAAAUCAUAUAAUCUAUCUAGUACACUAAUAAUAUUAAAUUAUUUUUUAUAUUUAAAAUAAUGUUAAAAAAUUUAAAUUAUUAUAUUUAUUUUAAUAAUAUAUUUAUAAAAUUAUAAAGAUUUUAAAUAAAUCUUUGGAUUGAAUAUAUUUUACAAUUAAAAGUCUUCCUAUUAAUAAUAUUAAAAUUAAAUUUUAAGUAAUAUAUAUUCAAAAUAUUUUUAAUUUAAUUUUAUUUAUUUUAAUAUUAUGUUUCUAUCUAUUAUUAAAAAUUACUUUAAUAUAAUAAAAUAGGUCUAAUAGAUUGAAAAAUAUGAAAAUAUUUUUAAAAUUUUAAAUUAUUUUGAAAUGUAUAUAUUAUUACAUUUAUUUCAAUGUCAUAUUUCCAUUUAUUAUAAAAUUUUGGGGUUAUUUUUUUGGGAAUUUAUAGAGUCAAAGAGCAUUAUGGUUAAAAAAGAGUCUUGGUGUCCCUUAUUGAAAACUUUAGAGUUUUUGUGACCAUUUUCCUAAAUCUUGGGGGUGUUGAAGUGGCACUUAUUGUAAGAUUGAUUUUAAAAUAUGUAAAAUUAAUUUUAUUACAUUACCAUAUGCUACAUCACCUGAAACUUAAUAAAUGGAACGUAGCAUUACUCCACGUUCACCGUUAUGACCUUAUGACAUUAGAAUUAAAAUCUUUCGUACGUUUAAAUUGUUUACUUCCAAAUUAAUCUUUCGUAAAUAUUUUGUACAGAUCUUAUCGGAGUUAGCGUGUUCAUUACAGUGUUUCUUUUCUUUUAUCCUUUCUUUUGAAACGUAUUUCCUGUGGACAAGGAAAGCAAAUAAUACCCUGCCACCAGGACCUCGCGGCUUGCCUGUAAUCGGAUACCUUCCAUUUCUCGGAAUUACUGACUUACACAAGACAUUCACGGAAUUAGCUGGUCUAUAUGGCCCGAUCUUCAAACUCUGGCUUGGCAACAAAUUGUGUGUAGUGGUUAGCUCGCCUUCAACUAGUUCUAUAAGAAUAUCCCUUUUAAGGGAUUCUCUCUCUGCAAAAUUUUUUUAUCUUCUGGUGCAUAAUAAAAACUUAUGCCACUUCAUUAACCACAGAUAUCUUUUGAGGAAACGAUGUUUCGUUUUCUUUUGUUUUUUCCUUCCUAAUCCUCGCAUAUCGUGUGAAGGCUAAUAUAUCCAAGAAUCUAAAUCUCUGUAAAUCUUUUUCUAUCCAAAUCUACAUAAUAAUUUAAUCCAUGCACAAUAUCUAUAAUUAUAUCGGCUGUCGGCUGAUUUCGUGGAGGGGGCGGCAGUUCAAAUUUUUUACGUGCAUGUUGGAUGGACGUCUCUAUUAAAGGAGAGCCACCACUUGCAUGGUAAUUUUUUUAAAUAAAUAUAUACAUUUCAAAAUAUUAUUUCAUUGUUGUAUAGUUAACAUGUCACCUUAGAUGUAUUUUAGAACUUCUCCUAUUAAAGAUAAUCUCAUGCAGUGAUACUUCUCGUGAUCUAAUCAUUAGUAGAAUCUAUAAUUUCGCUACUGUAAUAAAAUCUGUCCCUACCCUAUAUGAAUGUAGAUAUUUGACGCGAUUUGUAAUUGCUUCCGACAGGAAAACAGCAAUAGUUUAAUUGAAAUUUGUGGUAUGGAUUCCACGAAUCUUAUGACAGAAUACUGACCACUCCAACCCUAUCCACAUUUACACGAUUAAAACACAAGCUUAGAUGUGACAAUGCAUUUGUCACUUUUGUUCAAAUUCAUCCUGAAACACUAUACACUAAAUAAUCGAAUAUGGCUUCGUGGGUCGAUGAUGCUAGCAGCAACGAGACUGCAAUUAUCACUUGUUUUGUUGCUGUACUUGUCGUGGUCUAUUUCGCAUGGAAUGUAAACAAAUCAAGUAAAGCAAAUGCUAAAUUGCCACCAGGAUCUCGGGGCUUGCCAGUAGUCGGAUACCUCCCAUUUCUUGGAACUACUGACUUACACAAGACAUUCACGGAGUUAGCUGGAGUUUAUGGUCCGAUCUUCAAGAUUUGGCUUGGGAAUAAAUUGUGUGUAGUGGUGAGCUCGCCUACCCUAGUUAAACAAGUGGUCCGUGAUCAAGAUAUAACAUUCUCAAACCGCGACCCACCGAUCGCUGGAACUGUGACCACCUACGGUGGCAAUGAUAUUGCACUUUCCAAUUAUGGUCCCGAAUGGAAAAAGUUGCGAAAAUUAUUUGUGAGCAAGAUGAUGAGUAAUGCAACCCUUGAUGCUUGUUAUGCUCUAAGAAAACAAGAGGUUAAAAAUACUAUCAGGGAUUUGUACAACAACAAUAAGGAUAAUAUUGGCAGUGGCAAUGGCAAGCCCAUUGACGUUGGUGAAUUGUCGAUUUCAACUUUGGUACGUGUUAUGCAGAACAUGCUGUGGGGUCAAGCAUUGGAAACAAGAGAGAAAGAGAUUACUAAUCUCGGGGCUAAUCUUGCAGAACUCAUGGUGCUACUGGGAACACCAAAUAUUUCGGAUAUUUUUCCAGUGCUUUCAUUGCUUGACAUGCAAGGUAUAGAGAGAAGAGCUAAGAAGAUUUCUCUAUGGUUUGAAAACAUUAUCAAUUCUGGUGUUGAACAGUAUAGAAACAAGUUUUCUGUUGUUAAAGGUGAAGAAGCUGCAGCAGGAAAAAAUAUUGAACGAUCAAGAAAUAAGGACUUCUUGCAGUUACUGUUGGAGCUUCAGGAAAAUGAAGAUAGUGCUUCAUCUAUUAGCAUGAACCAACUAAAGGCCGUGCUCGUGGUAUGUUAAGCAACUAGACACAAAAAGUUGUAAAAGCACAGUGAUAUAUUUGCGCGAGGCCGCGAGUGAUGUUUUGCCUCGAGAACUCUCAAUUUUAUCUUACGGUAAAAAAUGUUUUUCAACUUUUUUUAAUUAGAAUUUUAUUGCAAUUUAUUUAACAGGACAUAAUUGUGGCCGGAACCGACACCACAACUACGAUGGUGGAAUGGACAAUGGCAGAGUUGAUGCAACAUCCACAAGUAAUGAAGAAAGUUCAAGAAGAAUUAGCUCAAGUUGUGGGCAUGGACAGUUGUGUUGAAGAAUAUCACUUGCCUAAAUUAAAUUAUUUAGAUGCUGUGGUGAAAGAAACAUUUCGUUUGCAUCCUGCGUUGCCCUUAUUGGUACCUCGCACGGCAAGCGAGAACAGCAAUAUUGGUGGCUAUACCAUUCCCAACGACACUAAUUUUAUGUUGAAUGUUUGGGCUAUUCACAGGGAUCCUCAACUUUGGGAUAAUCCCUUAGAUUUUCGACCUGAGAGGUUCUUGAAUGAUGAUAUCAUAAGCAAAUUCAAUUACUCGGGUAACAAUUUUCAGUACUUGCCAUUUGGUUCUGGUAGAAGGAUGUGCGCUGGCAUUCCUCUAGCUGAGAGGAUGUUGAUGCUUGUUCUGGCUUCGUUGUUGCACUUGUUUGAGUGGAAAUUGCCCCCGGGCACAAAGCUAGACUUAGCUGAAAAGUAUGGGAUUGUCAUGCGGAAAAAAGAGCCUCUGAUUGCUAUUCCAACACCAAGGCUACCAAAUUCAGAUCUCUACCAGUAAGAUCAAAAUGGUUGUGAUGAUAUUAUUUCCCAUUGUAUUGGAAUAUUUUUGUGUGAUUUGAAGUUCAAUCAUAAUAAAAUAUUUUAAUAAAAUGUCCUCGGUUGCUAAUUUUUCAAUAGUAUACUCUAUCAUCGUUUCUAACUGUCUUUUAGAGCCAUUUGGUCUAAUUUAUUUUUGAAUUAAAAUCCAUAAAUAUUUAAAUUUUUGAAUCAUAUUAAGAAUUAUCUGGAGUGUAUGGUCUGAUCUUCAAGUUCUGGCUUGUAAACAAAUUAGAGUUCUGAUAUUUGCCCCGGGUCAAACCCCGAAAUUAAAUAAAACGGCGUCGUUUUGUUUUUUUUUUUUUUUUUUUCUUUUUUACUUCUUCCAAACGUUGCCAUUUCACUUGUCAUUUGCAAGUGACUCCAUUGAUCCUUAGUUGAAACAGAGUUACACCGUAAAUCUCUUCCUCUUCGUUUCUUCGUUUCACCAGGGAACGAGACAGAUAAAAUCCAGCCAUUCUUCGACAUAACAAGAUAUCGAUUAGAAUCCAACGACAUAACUAUAAACCAUGACAUUGCGCUUGAUUUUGCGAAAUACCGAUUAAGAACCAGUAACUUUGAAUCCAAUGACCGUUAAGAGUUUGAAAUUGGUUUCAAAUGACUAAUGAGUUAUCAGAUUUCUUUGCGUCUACAUUUUCCUUGAAGGUUUCUCAGCAGCCAAACAAAUACAAAGCAAAUUGCAGAAGAAACACAUUUUGUUCCAAUGAAAAAUGUACGGAAACAUUUUAAAUAUGGAAAAUUACCUCAAAAUGAAGGCUCGCAAGAGAUUCGAGCAACAAAUUAGAUCAAAGGAACCGGCGCUGAGCAAGAAAGUGAGCUCAAAGAUUCCGAAACACAAACGUAAAUUCACAAAAAUGCAAAUCUAUGAUGAACGCCAAGAUCAAAAUUUUCGAAGAAAGGGAGCUGAAAAAAUAAAUGAAACGUCAAACUAGAUGACAAUGGAUUUGCUUCUUCAAAGGAGACAAUGAAAUUGUUACUAGAGACAGCUAGAGAAAUAGAGAGAGAGAGAGAGAGAGCUUGAAUUGGCUGUACCCCCACCAGAAAGUGGGUAGUGCCUUUUCCACUUGGACUUGAUAUGCGAAUCUGAAAAAAUCUGAACGAAGGACUGACUCAUCCCAGCUCGAAAGCAAACCAAGCUAGGACUGACUGAAAACGUUGCCGUUUGGAGAAGUUAAAAAAAAAAACUAAACAAAACGACGCCGUUUUGUUUAGUUUCGGGGUUUGACCCGGAAUUUGACCCGGGGCAAACAUCAUUUUCCAACAAAUUAUGCAUGGUCGUGUACACGCUUUCCCUAAUUAAGCAUGAGGUUCGUGAUCAAGGCACAACAUUCACUCCCUGCGACCCAACAAUCGCUACAUUGUUUGCCACCUAUAGUGCCAACGAUUUUGCACGGUCCAAUUAUGGUCCCCAAUCGAAAACGUUGCGCAAAUGUUUUCUGGGCAAGAUGAUAAGUAACGCAAGCCUUGAUGCUUGUUAUGGUCUAAGAAAACAAGAGGUUAAUAUAUAUAUAUAUAUAUAUAUAUAUAUAUAUAUAUAUAUAUAUAAAUUGGCAUUGUCAACUUUUGUAUGUUUUAUUCAGAACCCGCUGUGGGUUGACGCUAGCAUGCUUGCGUUAGGAGACGAGGGGACCAAUCUUGGGGCUGAGCUAAAAUAUAAGCUUGUAGAGAUCAUCUUGCUAAUGGUAAUGUUUUCCGAUGCUGGUUUAAUUCAUGGUAUAAAAAGGAGAACAAAAAAGAUUUUUCUAUGCUUUGAAAAUAUUAUAAUUUUUAUUUUAUAAUUUUUAAUAAAAUCUCUCAUUGAUAGCCAAACAAUUAAAAUUUUUGUAAAGCUUUUGUGGACUUUUGAUCGCGUAUGGUGCCAAUGUAUUGCGUGGUCCUAUUAUGGUUCCAAAUGGAGAAAGUUGCACAAGUUUUUUGAGUACCAGAAGAUCAGUAAUGUAAGCCUUGAUGGUUGUUAUGGUCUAAGAAAACAAGAGGCUAAAAAUUCUAUCUGGGAUUUUUAUAACAACAACAAAAUUGGCAAGCCCAUUGACAUUGGUGAAUUGUCAGUUUCAACCUUGGUAAGUGCGAUUCAGAACAUGCUGUGGGGUGAAACGCUUGAAAUAACAAAGAAAUGGAUUUACUAAUAUUGGGGCUGGGCUAAGAUUUAAGCUUGCAGAACUCACGGUGCUAGAGGGAACACCGAAUAUUUUGGAUAUCUUUCCAGUGCUUUCAUGGUUUAAUAUACAAGGUUUUCAGAGAAUAGCAAAGAAGAUUUCUCUAUGGUUUUAAAAUAUUAUCAAUUCUACUGCUGAACGCUAUAGAAACAACGUCUCUAUUGUCAAAAGUGAAGAAGCAGCAGCAGCAGGGAACAAUAUUGAAGGAAGGAAUAAGGACUUGGUGCAGUUACGCUUGGAGCUUCAAGGUAAAGAAGACAAUGCUUCAUCAAUUAGCAGGACGCAAUUUAAGAGCUUGCUCGUGGUAUGUUGCGCAACUAGCCACAGACAGUUACAGAAACUGAGUUUGGCAGAUUACGACCGUUUCUGGUGAUUACAUAAUUAUUUGUGGCUGUUUUUUUUUUUUAAUUGUAAUUUUCUUAACAGGAUAUAAUUUAGGGUGGAACCAACACCACAACUAUAAUGGUGGAAUGGACAAUGGCAUAAUUGAUACAGCAUCCACAAGUAAUAGAGAAUGUACAGGUAGAACUAAAUCGGGCCGUGGCCAUCGACAGCCAUGUUGAAGAAUUUCACCUAGCUAAGUUAAAAUAUUUAGAUGCUGUGGUGAAAGAAACAUUCUGCACUGUAAUAUAAUACAUGAAUCAUAUGUCCUCUAUUGUUUUUUUAUUUUUCUCUUUUUUUCAAUAGCUUAAUCUAUCAUUAAAAUCUUCUGAAAUUCUAAAUUAAUAUACAUUCAACCUAGAGUUCAAGCCAAAGUUUUAUUGAGCAUUAAAAAAAAAAAAAAUUCUACGACUCAAAAUUUUGUGGAGUAUAAAUUAAAAAUUAUGCGCCUACUAAGAGACAAAAAAUAAAUGAUACACAUUAACCAAUCAAAGGCGAACAAGAGAUUAUUAACAAUAACCUAAUAAUAAAAUUAUAAUGAAUAAAAAAGAAAUGGUACCUAGAAACACAUCACAGCCAUUUAAGCAAUCACUUACCCACAAAAUCCAAACAUAUAAACUAUGUGGGGGGGGGGGGGGGGGGGGGGGGUGUCAUGAUACCUUUGGGUUUCAUGAUAAUCAAAAUUGCAAUACCAUUAAAGACUCAAAAAUAAAAAAAAUCAUAGCCAAUAAAAGAGAAAAAAUAACCCACAAAAAAUCAUCAAGAAAAUAAAUUUGAGACUAAGAGAAGAUAUUAAUUAAACCCUGGGUUGCCUUGGAACCACGGCUUUGGCUUCCAUUUUUCAAUUCUUGGCGACAAGUCAUUUCUUGUUUGUUUACAAAGAUGACGGCUGAUUAAUGAAGCUCUAUUAACAAUGAAUAAAUAAAAAAACUGGCGCCUUGAAAAGACUAACGGUCAUAUUUUUCAACUCCGAAUUAGUGCCGUUUGAUGAGUCCUUGCCAAAACAAUCACUAGGCAAAUAACAAUCAUUUUUCAACCAGCAAAACUCAUUCAUUGUAUUUCACCUUAGUCAAGAUUUAAAAAUUGUUUCAAAAUAAACCUAGUGGUUAGAACCCAAGCGUCACAAUUGUGAGGUCAUGGGUUUGAGCCCCCACAACGUAUUGUGGGGGUUAAUUUUCUUCUUCAAUUUGAGUGAAAACAGUUCUCUCCCUUUCGAAAUGUGGGUGGAGUGGACGUCCCUCAAAUAUUAGAGAGGGUUCAAAUUUGGAUUGUACUAUAUAAGAUUUAUAAAUUAGUCCCAGUAAUUAUCUGAUUGUAAAUAUCAAUAUACUAAUCUAAUUAAAUAUGAGUUGUAAUAUGAGCGUUAGUCUCAUGUAAUUAAAAAAAAAAUGUUUCAAAAUAGGAUUCUUAAAAGGUUGGGGAAAUGGCCAUCAAUAUCCCCAACUUUCCAAAAAGAGACACCAAGACCCAUUUUGACCAUAAUACCCUUUACUUCUAUUAUCCCCAAAAAAUUGACUCUAAUGUUUUAUAAUAAAUAAAAAUAUAACAUUAAAAUAAAUGUAAUAGUAUAUACAUUUUAAAAUAGUUUCAAUAUCUAAAAACCAUUUUAAUAUUUUAAAUCCUAUUAUAUAUAUAUUAAAGUAAAUUUUAUAAUAAAUAGAAUCAUAAUAUUGAAAUAAAUGCAUUAAAAUUUAAAUUAUUUUUAAUAUUAUGUAAAAUAAUAAUUUUAUCAUUAUAAGUAUAUGAGAAUUUUUUUAAUUGUAGAAUGUAUUUAAUGCAAAUAUUUAUUUAAAAUCUCUACAAUAAAUAAAAAUAUACUAUUAAAACAAAUCUCUACAAUAUAUACAUACAUACAUAUACAUUGGCCUGGUAUUUUAUUUUUCAUUUUUUAAACUUAUUAAAUCCUCUAACUAUCAUUUGAUUAUUUUUUUCAAUGAUGAAGAGGCCAUUGCCGGAUAAAUUAUUAAAAUCAACUAGUUCUACAAGAAUGUCCCUUUUUAAAGGAAGAUGAUUCUCUCUCUCGAAAUUUUUUAUCUUGUGCUACAAACUAAAAACUUAUGCCAUUUCAUUAACCACAGAGAUCUUUGAGGAAAUGAUGCUUCGCCCCCCCCCCCCCCCCCCCCCCCCCCCCCCCCCCCCCGCGGCGCCAAAAAGUGUCCUUCCAUAUUUUGUGAAGGCUAAUACAUCGAUGAAUCUAGAUUUCUUUAAAUUUUUUGUUUUACUCAAUUCGAGAUAAUAAAUAGUUUAUCUUUAUUAAAUCUUUACUUUAACAAUGAUAGAUAUUCAAUCCAUGCAAAUAUCUAUCAUUGUAUGAGCUGAUUGCGUGGAGGGAGCGGUAAUUGAAAUCUAAUUGAAAACAGCAGAAGGCUGUUCUUGACAGAUCUCAAAUAUAUUACGGACACGUUGGGAGACAUCUCUAUCAUAGAUAUCCCCAUGCAGUGAUAUUUGUCGUGAUCUAAUUUUUAGUAAAUCUGUAAGAGAGAUUGUAACAUCUUUCAAGUUUUUUGGUUUGAUAUUCUAGACGAAAACGGUUUGUCGUUUCUUGAGCAAACGGCUAACCGUUUAAGUCCAGAGAGCAUGUUUGUUGUUCUGGAUAAAACGGCUCACCGUUGUUGCGAAAACGGCUAACCGUUUAACUCAAGAGAGCAUGUUUUAUGUUCUAGAGAAAACGGCUCACCGUUAUUGAGAAAACGGCUAACCGUUUAUUUACAGAGAGCAACGUAUUUGAUAUUCUGGAAUAAAAUGGCUCACCAUUUAUUGAGAAAACGGCUAACUGUUUAUUUCCAGAAAGGCGUCAAUUAGAAAAACGGUUAGCAAGAAUGAAAAUUUCAAUUGACAAUCGAUGCAAAUUCAAACCAAAAGAGUGUCUUCGAAAAAGUACCAUUUCUAAUGGUUGUAUUCUUUCAAAUAAACAUCUUCUUCAUUAAAGAAAUACACACAAUUAGAUUGAUAAUCAGAUUUUGACAGGUUUCUUAUAUGUUCUGGAAAUACAAUCUUAUUUGCUAGAGAUUGUAUUCAGGAUUUGUUAUAUCUUGGGGGUAAUUUGCCAUUAAAACUAUAUAGCAAACCAAGAUUGGUGAGGGCAAAUAAAACCUUAAAGGAAAGUAUGCAAACACGUCUCAAAUCCUAUGAAACUUUCUUUGUUCUUUGCCUCCAUAUUCUUAUUAUUCACUAACAAAAUCCCCAUGCAGUGAUAUUUGUCGUGAUCUAAUUAUUAGAAAAAUCUAUGAUUUCGCUACUGUAAUAAAAUUUGUCACUACUCUACAUUAAUCUAAAUGUCUGAUGAGAUUUGUAAUUGCUUCCGACGGGAAAACAGUUAAUAGGUUGAUUGAAUGUAUGUGGUAAAGAUUCCACGUAUCUCACGACAGAAUGCUGACCACUGGAACCCUAUCUACUUUUACGCGAUUAAUUCACGAGCUUAGGCACGACAAUUGCAAUACAAAUUAUCCCUUCAUCAUAUAUUUCGUUAAAAUUCAUUCUGAAGCACUAAAACUAAACAAUCGAAUAUGGCUUUGAGGGUCGAUGAUGCCAGCAGCAAUGAGAGUGCAAUUAUCACUUGUUUAGUUUCUGUGCUUGCCGUGGCUUAUUUAGCAUGGAAUGUGAAAAAAUCAAGGAAAGCAAAUGCUAAACUGCCACCAGGACCUCGCGGCUUGCCUGUAGUCGGAUACCUCCCAUUUCUCGGGACUACUGACUUGCACAAGAAAUUCACGGAAUUUAUUUUACUAUUAUAUUUAUAUUCAAAAUAAUUUUAAUUAGCUUUUAAAAUGAAUGAUUUUAGGAAAUUAUAAAUAAAGGUAACUAAGAAUUCUCUUAAUGUAAUAUAUUAUUAAUUAGUUUAAAAAUACAAAUUUAUUAAUUAGAGAAAUUAUUAGUGAAUUUAAAUUAAUGAUCUUAAUGAUUUGUUUGUACGAUUGCCCCCAAUCAAAGGUAAUUUUCCUAAAAAUUAUUAGGAAAUUAGAGAAAUUUAAUUUUUUUAGUGGGUUCAAUUGCCCACACACCCCGACUGAAGCAUUUUUUACAAUAUGUACUCCGUUUGUCGGCAGGAAAAUAAAGGUCUUGACACAUGAUCACUUCACUCCUUUAUUUACUUUGCUAACGCAGAUUUUGAGGUAUUAAAACAAAUAAUAAUUGAAUAUGACUUUGUGGGUCGACGACGCCAGCAACGAGGAGACCGCCAAUUAUCACAUUUUAAGUUUGCUGUAAUUGCCGUUGUUUUAUAUUAGUAGAAUAUUAGUGAUAAGAUAAUUGUAGAGUUUUCAUUUUUUUAAUAUUAAAAUCAAGUCAAUUUAUUAUAAUAAAUUUAGUUGAAUUUAAUCGUAUUACCACAUAAAUUGAAUAAUAAUAGAAUUCUCGACAAUAUUUCAAUAUUUUAAUCUCAAGCAUUGGAGUGGCAUUUAUUUGUUAUACGGUCGAUUUUAGAAUUUAUAAAAUUAUUCGUUGCUGAAUUGCACCAUAUGCUGCAUAACCUGAAACUUAAUAAACGGAACGUAGCGUUGGCACCGUUACUCAACAUUCACUGUUACGACUUUGUGACAUUAGAAUUAAAAUCUUUUCCACAUUUAAUUUGUUUACUUCCAACUUAAUAUUUAACAAAAUGUAUGUUAGCAUUGUAUGCCAUAUCAUCUGUAAUUUUGUCAGGAUCGAUCAUUCUAAUUUUUAAGCAGAACUUUUUGUCAAUGGACAAACACCUCAUACAGCUUGUCAGAGGCAUUAGUAUGAUGUAAAAUUGUAAUGGUAUAUCUUGAAUUAUUUUAGAAUAGUGAAUAACUAUUUGGAGCAAUAAAAACAAAUAAGACAGAUGAGAAAAUGGCUAAAAUUAUAUAAGUGACCCAAAAUUUUUUGCUAUUUCCAAGAAAUCCCCAAUCUGAAUGGACCAGAGGGAGGCAAGUUAGAAAUACAUUUCCUUCAUAGACAAUAACAACGAUGAGUGGAUGACAUCAAACCACGUUGGUAUCAAUAUUGAAAUAAAGGUGCAAUUAUUCAGCCAAUGAGCCUUAGUACACAUCAAGAUAUAUAAAAGUCAAGAAAAUGAAAAUUUAUCCCAAUUAAAACUCUUUCUGGCUGCAUUUAGCUGUUUCUGUUUAGGGAUGGCAAUUUAAUCCGGACCCAGCCCGACCCGGAUGAAUCCAGAAAAUUCGGGGUGGAUUCAACCCGUACCGGAGUGAAUAAAAUCUGAUAUUCAAAUUCAAUAUUUUCAACCCGGACGUUUCCGAGUCCGGAUCCGGAUUUGGGUAAACCCGCAUAUCCGGAACCCGGAUCCGGAUAACUAUUUUAAUAUUAAUUUUUAAAUCAUUUUAAAAUAAAAAAAAAUUAGAAAAAAUCAGCCCUAAUGCCCUUCCACAGCCACGGCAGCCAAACCAAACCCAGACAUUUCCUCUCUCUCUCUUUAGCCCUUCUUUUCAACAAAUCAUCAUCGUUGCUCAUCAUCGUUUCGUCGUGUUCAUCUUCAUCUUCAUCAUCAGCUGCCGUUUGUCCAGCUAUGUCACUAGUUUUGGCCGCCGUUUCCGUUUGUGCACCUUCGCAAAUCGGGAUCUCGAUUUGGCCGCCAACACUUCUACCCCCUGGUGUUUUGCUUUGUCCUCGACAACUUCUUUGUUGAUAAAUUGACGGGCACUUAUGAAUGCAUUUGUCUCUGUUUCUUCAUUUACACCUUCCCAGUUGUUUGUUCAUUUGCUUUUUGGAAGGAAAAAAAAAAAAAAUCAGCCACCAUUUAUCCUUCCCCUUUUCUUGACCUAACCCCACAAAGCCCAAUUUGUCAUCAUCAUUCAUUGGCAAAUUUGUUAUCAUCAUGGUUGAGACAUCAUGAUUAUCUUUGAUAAUUGAAUUUGUGUAAUAUGUUACCUUGGAUUUUAUUUCUAAGUAUUUGAUUUUGAAUUAUUUUCCAUUAUUGGUGUUAAUAGAUAGAAGAUUAGAAAGGAAUUCUUCACUGAAUAAAGAGAUGGGAAAUUGCAUCUUUUAGCAAUCAUCCGGGUUAUAAACCCGGAAUCCGGAAACCAGGAUUUUUCCGGGUUUAACCCAGUCCGGACCCGAAUGAAAAAUAUCCGGGUUUACAUCCGGGUCUGGUAUUAAAAUUUAUCGUCCGGAUCCGGAACAGGGAAGACAAAACCCGGACCCGAACCCACAUUUUGCCAUCCCUAUUUCCAUUUGAAGUUAACAACAACGUUUCUUUCGUUUUGUGGGCGACUUGACUGAGCCAGCUGGAUUCUAGUGCUAGUAUGUGAAAAUAGAAGGCUAAUGAUUUCACGUUCACUAGCCCACCUCCCCUCCUCUCGUUUCCUCUGAAUCAAUUUUCACGUGUGGUACCGAUUGAAAAUAUCUCUGACAUUUCGUGGACAUCUCUAUUGAAAAUAUCUCAGACAUUUCACUCAGGCAAACUUAUUAAUAUAAAAAAUCUAUGAUUUUUUCGUCUUAUACUGUAGAAAAAUUUGUCUAUACAUUAAUCUAGAUGUUUGAGGUGGUUUAUACAUCUGUGGUAUAGAUUUAUAGGUUGAUUGAUACGUCUGUGGUAUAGAUUUUAUGUAUUUCAUUAUCAAAUGCUGGCCUUUGGGACCCUAUCUACAUCUAUUUAUAAAACUAACGGGUGCCAGUUAUGCCAUUACAAAUUAUCCCCUCUUCAUACAUUUCCUUAAAAUUCUUCUGAAACACCAAAACUAAAUAAUCGAAUAUGGCUUUGCGGGUCGAUGAUGCCAGCAACAAUGAGGCUGCAAUUAUCACUUGUUUAGUUUCUAUGCUUGCCGUGGUUUAUUUCGUAUGGAAUGUGAACAAAUCAAGGAAAGCAAAUGCUAAACUGCCACCAGGACCUCGCGGUUUGCCUGUAGUCGGAUACCUCCCAUUUCUCGGAACUACUGACUUGCACAAGAAAUUCACGGAAUUAUCCGGAGUUUAUGGUCCGAUCUUCAAGCUCUGGCUCGGAAAUAAAUUAAGUGUCGUGGUGAGCUCACCUUCCCUAGUUAAACAAGUGGUUCGUGAUCAAGAUACAACAUUCGCAGACCGUGACCCGCCGAUCUCAGGACUAGUGACCUCCUUUGGUGGCAAUGAUAUUACAUGGUCCAAUUACGGUCCCGAAUGGAGAAAGUUGCGCAAAUUUUUUGUGGGCAAGAUGAUGAGUAACGCAAGCCUUGAUGCUUGUUAUGCUUUAAGAAAACAUGAGGUUAAAAAUACUAUCAGGGAUUUGUAUAACAACGGCAACAAAAUUGGUAAGCCCAUUGACAUUGGUGAAUUGUCGAUUUCAACAUUGGUAUGUGCUAUGCAGAACAUGCUGUGGGGUGAAGCGCUUGAAUUAAAAGAGAAAGGGACAACUAAUCUUGGGGUUGAGCUAAAAUUUAAGUUUGCAGAACUCAUGGUGCUACUGGGAACACCGAAUAUUUCGGAUAUCUUUCCAAUGCUUUCUUGGCUCGACAUACAAGGUAUAGAGAGGAGAGCAAAGAAGAUUUCACUCUGGUUUGAAAAAAUUAUAAAUUCUACUGUUGAAAAGUAUAGAAGCAAGGACUUUAAUGUUGAAGGUAAAGAAAGAGCAGGGGAAAAUUUUGAAGGAUCAAGGAACAAGAACUUCUUGCAGUUACUAUUGGAGCUUCAAGAAAAUGAAGACGGUUCUUCCUCAAUUAGCAUGAACCAAUUUAAGGCCGUACUCGUGGUAUGUUAAGAAACUAGCCGCAAACAGUUAUACAAGCACAGCUGUAUAUUUUGCAUGAGUGAUAUUUUCAACCUUUUUUUUUUAUAAUUAGAAUUUUAUUGUAACCUUUUGGACAGGAUAUAAUUACGGCUGGAACCGACACCACAACUACGAUGGUGGAAUGGACAAUGGCAGAGUUGAUGCAGCAUCCACAAAUAAUGAAGAAAGUUCAGGAAGAAUUAGCUCAAGUUGUGGGCAUGGACAGUUGUGUUGAAGAAUUUCAUUUGCCUAAAUUGAAAUAUUUAGAUGCUGUGGUGAAAGAAUCGUCUCGUCUGCAUCCUGCAGUGCCUUUAUUACUACCACGCAGAGCAAGCGAGAGUGGCAGCAUUGGUGGCUAUAACAUUCCCAAAGAUACAACUAUUAUGUUGAAUGUUUGGGCAAUCCACAGGGACCCUAAACUUUGGGAUAAUCCCUUAGAAUUUCGACCCGAGAGGUUUCUAGAUGAUGGUAUCGCGAGUAAGUUCGAUUACUCAGGUAACAAUUUUCAGUACUUGCCAUUUGGUUCUGGUAGAAGGAUGUGUGCUGGGAUUCCUCUAGCUGAGAGGAUGCUGAUGUUUGUUUUGGCUUCGUUAUUGCACUCAUUUGAGUGGGAAUUGCCAGCUGGCACAAAGCUAAACUUAUCUGAAAAAUUUGGGAUUGUCAUUAAGAAAAAAGAGCCUUUAGUUGCUAUUCCAACACCAAGACUAUCCAAUUCAGAGCUCUACCAUUAAGACAGAAUGGUUGUGAUGAUUUUGUUAAUUUCCGAAGAUUUGUAUGUUAUGUCAAGUUCAAUCGUAAUAAAAUAUUUCAAAUAAGAGUCCUCCGUUGCUUUUUUUUUUUUUUUCAACCGCAUAAUCUGUCGUCAUGCUUGUAUUUGGGGCUACUUUGGAAUAAUUAUGUUUGAAUUACAAUAUAUAAAUAUUACAUUUUAAAAUUUUAUGAGAUUCUAAAUUUAUACACGUUCAAUAACCCACUUCAUAUAUGUUUAACACAAUUUAUAUCAUACAUUGUAUACCCAUUUGUCAUAAAUUACGCUAUUUUAUAUCUCUAAAUAAUAUUACAUAUUGAUAUUAUAAAAUGUUGUUAACUCACGUGUGUAUAUAUAUAUAGCAAGUCACGUGCAUAUAUUAUUGGUUGUUAUAUGUUUGCUAGUUUGAUAGGAUUUCCUUUCCUUGUGAACUAGGGUAAUUCUUAUGUACAUAUAAAUAUUGAUCAAUAAGAGUGCAGAUGAUGACUGCAGUUUUGCAUCGUAGAAAUUCUUCGUAAAAUAUAUAUGUUUAUCAAAAGGCUAUACCAUUCAAUAUAUAUUGGAAAGAGAACAAAGAAGAUCUUCUUAUGGUUUGAAAAUAUUAUGAAUUCUGCUGUUGAACAGUAUGGAAACAAGGUCUGUUGUUAAAGGUGAAGAAGUCACAGGGAACAAUAUUGAAGGAAGAAAUUUCACGUUUAGUUGCUGAAUUUGCCGCUGUAUUCUAUCGGUAGUAAAAAGAUUAGAGUUUUUAUUUUUCUCUAUUAAUGUUAAGUCAAUUUUCUAUAACAAAUUCGGUUGAGUUUAAUUGUGUUACAAUAUAAAUUGAAUGAUAGUAGAAUUUUCAACGAAUAAUUCAAUAUUUCUAUCUCGAUUGUUGAAGUGCCAUUUAUUUGUUAUACGAUCGAUUUUAAAAUUUAUAAAAUUAUUUGUUACUAAAUUGCAUCAUAUGCUAAAUCACCUGAAACCUAAUUUCAUAACUAACCCUUUAUUUUUAGUUCUCAAGAAAUCUUGUAAGAACAAAAUUCUUUUGUAACAAAACGUUUACAACAAAUUAAUUUGUAACUCAUUCCUGUGCGAGAAUCACUCUCAAUUUCCUUCAAUUGCUGUUUAACAAUCAUCUGCUUAUCAAAAUUCAAGCAUAAUCUUUUUUUUUAAUUUCUUCAUCAUUCUUUUGAAAAAAAAAAUCAGGAUAUGCUGUUAAAUUUUGAAAUAAAUUAUCUCAAAAUAAUUACUAACCAGAAAAAACAAAGGGGUUUAACUAGGUUAUGCAUACCUUUGAAAAUUAUAUGUUGAUCGAUAAGAAUGAUGAUCACGAUUGACGAGUUUAAUUAAAAUAUAUAAGAUUUUAAAAUUAAUCAGGGUUAAAUUGUGAAUUUUAGAAAGAGAGGUUUUGUGAGAAUGUUGAAAGGGUGUUAAUAGUUCCACUCUUUUUAAAAACAACCAUAGUCAUCAUUUUUCCAUGGUUGUUUUUAAAAAGAGUAUUUCUUCUUCCCAUCUCCAUCUUAUUUAGAAAUUUCCCAGAGCCUUUGUUUCCCACCUUUCAUUUUUCUUCUUUCUAAUUUAAUAAUCCACCCUUCUUGUAUUCAAACUAAAAAAUUAAAAUCUGAAAAUUUAAAACCCAAUAUUAUAGUAUUAUAAAAAUAAUUACUCACAUUUUAUCAAACACCUCCAUUCUUCCAAGGCCUUGUUUUAGUAGUAGGCUUUUAUUAUCUCAAUAAAAUUGAAAAAAAAAAUCUCAAUAAUAUUGGAAAAAAACCCUACCCAUAUUUGUAACUUUAAUUUAUUAUUCUCCAUAGACCUACUUUUUAGUUUUGAAUUUUGUUGGAGCCAUAUAUAAACAGAAUAUGUUGAAAUCAGCACCCAAAAAAAAAAAAACUAAUUAUAUAAUUUAUGUUCCCAAGGACAUGGCUGAGUGAUUUUCAAGAAGUUUUGUUUGGCUGGCCACUUAGGUUUAAAUCUUGGUGGAGAUUAAGGGUUAAGAAAUAAAUUUAGACUUUGCACACCCCUUUAACUUUUAAAAAGAAAUGAAAAAAUUAAUUAAUUAAUCUUUAUUUUAUUUAUUAAAUGUCAUAAUCCUAUGCGUAUUUUAUUUGUUAUCUUUCUAUUUAAAAGACGAGGGCAGAUAAAACUGAAAUAAAUUUUUAGCCCUAUCUCCAUAUUUCAAGUUCCAUAGUUAGGUGACCAGCUAAAAAAAAUUAAUUGAAAGCUACUCCAUCAAAUUAAAAAAAUUUAUUUAUUUAAUUUGUGGAGAUGUAGAAAAUCAAACCCCAUACCUUUUCGCAUACACUGAACAUAUUUUAAUACAUGACUAUCAUCCUUUAUCCUAAAUACUACUAUAACUAAUAACAUACAAUUGAAAUAAUUAAUGUUAACACUUGGCUAUAAAUAAAGGUUUUGUGCUUGAAUCUUCACGCAUGACCUUCAUUCCUUUAUUGACUUUGCUAACACAGAUUUUGAGGCAUUAAAACUAAAUAAUAAUUGACUUUGUGGGCCGAGGAUGCCAGCAACAAGGAGACCACAAUUAUCACUUAAGUUACUCUAAUUGCCGUUGUCUUAUAUUCAUAGAAUAUUAGUAAUAAGAUUAUUGCAGAAUUUUUUUAAUAUUAAAAUUAAGUCAAUUUGUUAUAACAAAUUUAGUUGAGUUUAAUCGUGUUACUACAUAAAUUGAAUAAUAAUAGAAUUCUCGACAAAUAUUUCAAUAUUUUUAUCCCAAGCGUUGGAGUGGCAUUUAUUUGUUAUACGAUCGAUUUUAGAACUUAUAAAAUUAUUCGUUACUGAAUUGCACCAUAUGCUGCAUGACCUGAAACUUAAUAAACGGAAUGUAGCGUUGGCACCGUUACUCAACAUACUGUUACGACUUUGUGACAUUAGAAUUAAAAUCUUUUGCACAUUUAAUUUGUUUACUUCAAAAUUAAUAUUUAACAAAAUAUUUUUUUCACAUUAUCAAUGGACAAAACUCCAACGAAAAUAACUACACAAGAAAAAUGUAUGCUAGUAUUGUGUGCCAUAUCAUCUGUAAUUUUGUCAGGAUCGAACACUCUAAUUUUUAAGCAGAACUUUUUAUCAAUGGACAAACACCUCACACAGCUUGUCAGAGGCAUUAUUAUGAUAGAAAACUGUAAUGGUAUAUCUUGAAUUAUUGGUAGAAUAGUUCUUUGGAGCAAUAAAAAUAGAUAAGACAGAUGAGAAAAUUGUCAAUACCCCACCGCAAAAGCAAAAGAAAAAAAGGAAAGGAGACAAAAGAGGAAGAAGAAAAAAAGGAAAGGAGACAAAAGAGGAAGAAGAAAAAGAAAAAAGAACGAAGAAAAAAAUGGUGCCGCGCUGUAUUGGGAAGAAGAAAAAAAUUAAUAAAAUAAUAAUAAAUAAUAAAUAAUAAAUAAUAAAAUAAUAGUGCACAACAAUCAUUUGAUUGCUAUAAAUAAAGGGGCAUUUUCCUCAUUUUAUUCAUCGAAUUCUUCAGUUCCUUUCAAGCGAUUUAAGAGUCUAGUGAUUUGAGAGUUUGGGAGUAUUGUGAUUUUGAGUACUAAGUUAAAAUACUAUAAUACUUGUAACUCAUUUUCACUAGUAAAAUAUUUUUCUUCUGUCUUCGCCCGUAGACGUAGGCUAAAAGCUGAACCACGUAAUUUCUGGUGUCCCUAUGUGAUUAUGUGUCUCAUUAUUUCUCAAUUUUACUUUAGUUACGUGUCUGCUACACCCUUCAAUUUACUAACAAAAAUGGCCAAAAUUAUAUAAGUGACCCAAAUUUUUUUGCUAUUUCCAAGAAAUCCCCAAUCGGAAUAGACCAAACUAGAGGGAGGCAAGUUAGAAAUACGUUUCCUUCAUAAACAAUAACAGCGAUGAGUCGAUGACAUCGAGCCACGUCGGUAUCAAUAUUGAAUUAAAGGUGCAAUUAUUCAGCCAAUGAGCCUUACACAUCAAGAUAAAAGUCAAGAAAAUGAAAAAUUUAUCCUAAUUAAAACACUUUCUGGCUGCAUUUAGCUGUUUCUAUUUGAAGUUAAAAACAACAUUUCUUUCGUUUUGUGGGCAACUCGACUGAGUUCGCUGGCUUCUAGUGCUAGUAUGUGAAAAUAGAAGGCUAAUGAUUUAUUUGUUAUCUUUUGACAAAAAAUGUUAAAGAUAUAAUAGAUUUUCCAUGAUACAAAUGAAAAAUUAUAUCAACAUAACUUCCAAGCUACAGCAGCUAGUGUUUACCAAACACUUUGCUGUAGCUUUUAAGCUACAGCUGCCCAACCUCAAUAGGUUGAUUGAAUUUGUGGGAUAUAGAUUCCACAUAUCUCAUGACCUAUUAAUUAUACAAGUGGUUCUUGAUCAAGAACAACAUUUGCUUCCGACCCAGUAACCCAGCAACUGCUGCACUGGUCGCCACCUAUGGUGCCGACGAUAUUGCAUGGUCCAAUUAUGGCCUUGAAUGGAAAAAGUUGAGCAAAUUAUUUGUGGGCACGAUGAUAAGUAACGCAAGCCUUGAUGCUAGUUAUGGUCGAAGAAAACAAGAGGUUAAGAAUACUAUCAGAGAUAUGCAUAACAACAAAAAGGAAAAAAAAAAAAAAAGGCAUUGGCAAGUCAAUUGAUAUUGCUGAAUUGUCGAUUUCAACUUUGGCAUGUGUAAUUCAGACAUUGCGCGUUGUGGUAUGGCGCUGGCACGCUUGCAUUGCCGAGAGGACAAAUCUUGGGGCUGGGCUAAAAUUUAGGCUUGUAGAACUCAUGGUGCUAAUGGGAACGCCAAAUUUUUUUAACAUAUUUCGGUGCUUUCAUGGUUUAAUUCAAGGUAUAGAAAGGAGUGUUGAGAAUGUCAAAUAAAACGACAUUGAAUGGAAGUUGUCAAAGACAUGAUCCGCACUGAACGGCAAUGACACGGUUGGUAAAGAUUUUUUCAUAAUAUGCGUAUCUAAUUUUUGAAAAAUUGUAACCUCUGCUUCUAUAAAUAUGCUCAAUGUAUAAUGUUUUACUUAAGAAAUGAAAAACUUAAUUCUUUAUGGUAUCAGAGCGAGGCUCGUUGCUCUGUUUGUAACAAAAACAAAGAAAACUAAAUUCUUCCCACAACUAUUUUUCCACCUUUUUUUCUUCCUUAAAAGCAUUCCUAGCAUUACAGAAACCCAUGCCAAUAAAAGAACAAGCCACACAUAUGUAAAAACUUUAGUUUACAAAUCUAUCAACAUCCCCAUAAAUUUUCCCAAAAAGUGAUCUUCAAAAACCAAAAAUACCAUCAAUUUUCGCAUCUUCUAGUAAACAAACUAUAAAAGUUUCGCACUCAAACAGAGCCACACGCGCCUCCACGCGCUUCCCGGAAUCACGGCCAACCACCACGCGCCUCUGUCACCACCAACUCACCCUCAUGCGCUCCAGAUGUUGCAGAAGACGCAAAACGACGUGUCGUUUUCUUCUCUAAAAGUGCAGCAACGUGGAAAUGACUUUUUGUUUUUGCCUUAAAUUGUUUUUCCUCGUUUGAAGCUAUACAACAUUUUUCUUUCUAAACCUGUUUUUUACAAUAAAAAAAGAAAAAAAUGGAGAAAACUCCAACUGAAUCUACUCAUGUUGUCAUUCAAUCUGUUCAACCUGAUGGAGUAUUUAAUGCCGAAAUUAUCCUUACUAAGACAAACUACGAUAUUUGAUCUCAAAUAAUGGAGAUGCAUCUCGCAGAAAGAAAAAAACUCCCAUAUAUUCGUAGCAGCAUAAAUCCAUCUGACAAAUUUUCAAAGAAAUAUGAGAAAUGGUAUAGUGAGAACCAAAAAGUAAAAAGAUGGUUACUCAUAACCAUGUGUCCUGAGAUCAUGAAGCGAUAGUUACAAAUUCCUACAGCCUACGAAAUUUAGAAUGCAUUAUCAAAAGCCUUUUAUAAUGGAAGCGAUGAAAUACAAGUUUUCACUCUAAAUCAGAAGGCGUUCUCUACGAAGCAAAAUGGACAACCACUCUCUAAAUUCUACGGAGAAUUGAUCAAAAUGUUUCAAGAACUUAAUCACCGAGAUAAAGUGGUCAUGAAGGAUCCAGAAGAUGUUAUAAUAUAUAGGAAGUUUGUUGGAAGAUUGAGAGUGCACAUUUUUCUUGCUGGACUAGAUGAAGAAUUUGACCAAGUUUGUGGAGAAAUUCUACGAAAAGAUACUAUCCUAGACUUAAAAGAAUGUUAUUCUCUAAUCCGAAAAGAAGAUGUACGGCAAAGCAAACUAACAAGAAGGUGGACGACUCAGAAACGUCUGCUAUGAUACCACAAGAGAACAAUGUUUUGAAAUUGUUCGAUAUCCUGACUGGUGGGAUACUCGAAGUAAUAACACAAAGCAGAGAUAAAAAACUGCAGUAGCUGAAUCCACAUCCACUACAGAUCUUAGAAAAGAAUCUUCAGCGCAAAUUGCAACCUCUGUCAAUUCAGGUAAGGUCAUUAAAACUCUUACAUUUGUUAUUAAUAGUAUAUGGAUAAUUGAUUAUGGUGCAACUGAUCAUAUGACUUUUGAUUCUUGACAAGUUUCUUAAUUGAAACCAUCUUCACAUAAACAUGUUUCUACUGUAAAUAGAACCACAACCUCAGUUAUUGGGGAAGGAUCUUUACAACUCACAAUUAAAUCAAAUUUAGACUUUGUGUUAAUUGUUCCAUCUUUAAAUUAUAAUCUUUUAUAUGUGUCUCAAAUAACCUCUUACUUAUCAUGUGUUGUAAUGUUUUGGCCCGAUCAUUGCAUGUUUAAGGACAUCCAAAUGAAGGAAACGAUUGGUUAUGAUAUUAAAUAAGGCAACUUGUAUUACCUGGAGAUGACAUCAACAAACACUGAAAAGCUAAGCCCCGCAUUAGUAGCAGACAAUUCCAUGAAAAAAAAGGAAAUAAGAAAUUUGGUUAUGGCAUAGACGAUUAGGGCAUGUGUCAUUUGAUUUCUUAAAAAAAUUGUUUCCUAGUUUGUUUCUGAAAUUUGAUAUUUGUAACUUUAAAUAUGAUGUUUGUGAACUUUCAAAUAGCCAUCGAACUACUUUUCCAUUGUCCUUAAAUAAGAAUCCAAUUCCUUUAAUGGUAGUACAUUCUGAUGUAUAGAGACCAUCUAAAGUUUCUACCAUUGGAAGAGCUCGUUGGUUUGUUACAUUUAUUGAUGAUUGUAGCAGAAUGACAUGGAUUUUUUUAUGAAAUUAAAAUCAUAUGAUGGUGACAACUCUAUUUCAGACACAAAUUUGAGUUCUACAUACUGAUAAUGGAGGCGAGUAUAUGAGCACAACAAUUCAACAGUUUUUGAAAUCACAAUGAACUCACCACCAAACCACUUGUGUGGGGACACUCCAACAAAAUGGCGUUGCUAAACAAAAAAAUAGACAUUUACUAGAAGUUGUUCAAGCAUCACUAAUUUAGGCCCGCAUGCCACUAUUUUAUUGGGGAGAAGCAUUGGCAUCCGUAGCAUACUUGAUCAAUCGGACACCUUCAAUCUUCCUUGGAUUCCAAACUUAUUUUCUAGUUCUAAAUGAAGAAUUAUGUCAUCAAAUGUGUCGAAUUUACCCCCACAUAUGUUUGGUUGUGUUGCCUUCGUUCAUUUGCCAUGACAAGAUAAAUUAUCUCCUCGAGCACUACGUUGUGUGUUUGUAGGGUAUGCCUUACAUCAAAAGGGGUACCGAUGCUAUCAUCCUCUAUUAAGAAAAAAUAUACAUCACCAUGGACAUAAUCUUUCAUGAAGAUAUCAUGUAGUACCCAUCGGAGCUUGAAUUUCAGAGGGAGUAUAAUGAAGAGGAAAUUCAUACUCUUACAUAUCUUUCACCUGAAGAAGAUCAAUCCUCCAUUGAGGUAGUAAACGUUCAAGAUACUGGAAAAGAAAACGACAAUGAUUCUCAGGCUGAGACAAGUGAAGACACAUUUAGGGAGCAAAAUAACUCAGACAUAACCACAAUCGAGAACGAGUCCAUGAAGAGCCACAUGAAGAAAUAUCUAACCAAUCAUCUGCAGAGGAUGAUCCUACCACAAAUCCCAGUCUAAUCAGAAGAAUACUUCCCCAGCAUCAAAAUAGAGGUAUCUCUAAACCCACAUAUAAGACUGACCUCUCUAGUAGAGUCAAAUACCCUAUGAGUCAUUUUGUAUCUAACCAUGGCUUAUCAAAAUCAAAUCAGUCAUUUGUGAAUCAAUUAUCUACUGUGUCUAUUCCUAACAGUGUGCAAUAAGCCUUAAAAUAUCGAAAGUGGAAAGGGCUAUGAAUGACGAAAUGAGAUCUCUUUAAAAAAAAUCAAACAUGGGAACUAAUUGAUCUUCCACCAGGAAAGAAACCAGUGGGUUGCCGAUGGAACUAGUUGAUCAUCCACCUCCAUUCUGACAAGCAAUGUUUAUCAGCAAUAACAAAUGACUGAAGCAUUUUAAUGAGGUUAGUAACGAAAAAGAGUUUAAUUAGAGAAUAUUAUAAGAGAAAUUCUAAUUUUUGAUUUUUAAUAAAUUAAAAUAUCUUAAAAUAUUAUUAGUUGGUGGUGGUUUCAUGUCAGAUUAAGACGUGACACCUUACUAAUGAGGUCGAGACAAUUAGCUUAAAUUAUUUCAAUGCAUUUGAAAUUUCCACUAAUGACUAUAAUUCUUUGUCCUAAUUACUAUGAUAAUUAAUAACAUACAAUUGAAAUAGUUAAUAUUAGCACUUGGCAAUAAAUAAUUAAAUUUCAUUAACACUAAAUAAUAAUUGAAUAUGGCUUUGUACAUCGAUGACGCCAGCAACAAGGGGACCGCGAUUAUCACUCUUUAAGUUGCUUUUAAAAUUGAUUUUAGUAGUGAUAUGAUUAUUGUAGUGUUUUUAUUUUUUAUAUUAAAAUUAAGUGAUUUGUUAUAAUAAACUUAGUUGAGUUUAAUGGUAUUACUACAUAAAUUGAAUAGUUAUCAAAUAUUUUAAUAUUUUUAUGGCAAGCGUUGACGUGGCAUUUAUUUGUUGUAUGAUGGAUUUUAAAAUUUAUAAAAUUAUUUGUUAUUAAAUUACCCCCAGAUGCUACAUCACCUGAAACUUAAUAAAGGUAUGAAGACAUGUGUGUGUGGACUGAAAUGAAGAAUAUGGAAAAGUUGAGAGCUGUUGUGCAGAUUGAGUUCAGUUGAUGGGGUCUAUUAGAUAUUGUCUGCUGACGUGGCAUGAAUUCGUUAUAAUCUGUUAUAACGAGUUCAGUAUAUCAGUAUACAAUAGAGCUGAUGGAUGGUGCCUGUUUUAGAGUCUUUUUUAUAUUCAUUUGUUCAUCAUUUUGCGCAAGAUCUGUUCCAUUGUGAUAUGUGUAAAGUCUUAUGUAAACCCACUUAUGAUUGGAUUAGUUCUUGAUUAAUAACAACGAGUAAAUUUUCCUUCAAGUGUGCUGGUCUGUGCCCCUGUUUUUUGUUCUGAUAUUGUUUCUUUGUUCUGGCAUUUCAUUUCGAUUGUGUUCUUGGUGUUUCUACUCAUCAAGAUUUAUGAGUCUUGUUGAGAUUAAAGACUUAAUAGUCUUAACAAGUGGUAUCAGAGCCUGGUGAAUCUCAGCCAUGUCUCUUUCGAAGCAUGAAAUUGAAAAAUUCACCAUUGGUGGUGAUUUCUCGCUUUCGAAAUUAAAAAUGAGGGCUCUCCUUGUGCAUUAGAGGCUUGAAUUUGCUCUGGAAAAAGAUAAUCUAGAGGCUGCUACAAGUUAUGUGACUGAUGAUAAGAAGAGACAAAUCCAAAACCGAGCUCGUAGCACUCUAGUUUUGAGUCUUGGUGACUCAAUCUUGAGAAAGAUUUCUGAAGAGAAGACAACCUUAGGGAUUUGGAACAAGGUAGAAGCUUUGUGUACAAAGAAGUCGCUAGCUCACAGACUAUUCUUGAAGAAAAAGUUAUACACAUUCUCGAUGAGAGAAGGAGUCACAAUUCAAGAUCACAUUGAUACCUUCAACAAGAUCAUUCUUGAUCUUGAAGGGGUGGAAAAUGUGACAAUAAGUGAUGAAGAUAAAGCCUUCUUCUUGUUGAGUUCCUUACCAAAGUCUUAUGAAGGCUUUGUAGAUACAAUGCUUUAUGGCAGAACAACAUUGACUCUUGAAGAUGUUAAAGCAUCUCUAAGUUCAAAAGAGAUUCAGAAGAACAAUGAGAUUGAAACAAAUAAUGGUGAUGGGCUGAUUGCCAGAUCAGAAAAGAAGAAAGAUCAGAAGAAUAAAAAUCAGGGAAAAUGACAUGGAAAGAAUUAAGAAAAUGCAGACAAGAAGAAAAAGAAGAGAAAAUGCUUCUACUGCCGGAAGGAAGGGCAUUACAUCAGGGAUUGUCUUAAAAAGAAAAAAAAAGAAAGUCAAGAGAAGUCAGGGGAUGCAGCUGUAGCCUCUGAUGAUGCCUCUGAUGGAUAUCACAUUGCUGAUUUACUUGUGGCCUCAAAUAGCAAUACUAAAGGUCAGUGGGUCAUAGACUCUGAGUGCUCUUUUCACUUGUGGCCUGAUAAAACCAUAUUUUACAAAUAUGAAGUUGUUGAUGGUGGUAGAGUCUUAAUGGGAAAUAAUAAUGUGUGUAAUCUUGUUGGUAUUGGUUCUGUGAAGAUCAAGAUGUUUGAUGGAACUGUAAGAGCUCUACAUGAGGUGAGGCAUGCUCCUAGGCUAAAGAGAAAUCUAAUCUCUUUAGGCAUGCUAGACAGCUUAGGGUAUUUCUUUAAAUCAGAAAGUGGUGGUUUAGAGAUAAGAAAGGGGACUGAGAUAGUGAUGAAGGGGGUUAAAGAAAAUGGCUUAUAUGUAUUGUAAGGCUCAUCAGUGCUUCUUCAAAAGGGAAUUUCUGCUCUUUUUGAGGAAGAUAUAACCAAGUUAUGACAUCUUAGACUUGGUCAUAUGAGUGUCAAAGGGAUGUAAGAGCUCAGCAAACAAGGGCUACUUGGUGGGGAUAGAAUCCAGCAACUGGAAUUAUGUGAAAAUUGCAUUUUUGGCAAAGCUCACAGGUCCAAGUUUCACAAGGGGGAGCAUAUGUCUAAGCAAGUUUUGGACUAUGCACAUGCUGACCUUUGGGGGCCUGCUCAAGUCCCAUCCUUGAGUGGUGGCAGGUAUUUCAUAUCACUAAUUGAUGAUUACUCAAGGAAGAUGUGGGUCUACAUACUCAAGACCAAAGAUCAAGCCUAGGAAAAAAUUCAAGGUAUAGAAAUCUUUGGUAGAAAAUCAAUUUGGAUUCAAGCUCAAAUGCUUGAGAACUGAUAAUGGUUUGGAAUUUUGUAGCAAAGAAUUUGAGGAAUAUUACAAAAAAACAUGGCAUAAAAAGGCACAAAACAGUCAGGUUCACCCCCCAGCAGAAUGGCUUGGCUGAAAGGAUGAACAUGACCUUGGUAGAUAAGACCAGAUGUAUGUUGAUAAAUUCAAAGCUUCCAAGAAGCUUUUGGGCAGAAGCUGUCAAUACAACAAGUUGUUUGGUUAACAGAAGCCCAUAUUCUGCAAUUGGCUUCAAAACACCAGAAGAAUUGUGGAAGGAAAAACCUGUAAAUUACCAAAAUCUCAGUGUUUUUGGAUGCCCUGCUUAUCUCCACAUCAAUCAAGGCAAGCUGGAAGCUAGGGCCUUGAAAGGAGUCUUUGUUGGAUAUCCUGAUGGGGUUAAGGGAUACAUAAUCUGGUGUAGAGAGUAAGGGAAGUGUAUAGUCAGCAGGGAUGUUGUGUUUCAUGAAUUUGGAUUGCUAAAAGAAAAUGCAGAGAAUGAUACUAGACUACAAAAUGAUUCAAUAAUUAUCAAACAAUCUGGAACUUCCAAGGUUAAGGUGGAGCUGUUUGGAAAUAAAGACAGUAGAAAAGAGGUAGCUGAUUAUGAAGAGAGGACCACAGCUAAAGUUGAGGAACAUGAGUCAUCAGAGUUGCCACAAGCUGACUUGCAGACUUAUCAGUUAGCAAGAGAUAGAGUUAGAAGAGAAGUCAAAGCACUAGUGAGGUAUGGCUAUGCUGACUUAAUUACUUAUGCAUUGUUGUGUGCUGAUGAUGUGGCAAUUGAAGAGCCUGCUAACUUCUCUGAAGUUAUUGAAAGUGUGCAUUGUGAUAAGUGGCUUGAGGCAAUGCAAGAUGAAAUGGGAUCCCUUCAAAGAAAUCAGACCUGGACACUUGUUCCAAAUCUAGGUAAUAAAAAGUUGAUCAGUUGUAAGUGGAUCUUCAAGAAGAAUGAAGGAAUUCCAGAUGUUGAACCUCCCAAAUAUAAAGCAAGGCUAGUGGCUAGGGGGUUUACACAGAGAAAGAGUGUAGAUUUCAAUGAAAAAUUUUCCCCUGUUCUUAAGCACAUUUCAAUAAGAAUUUUAUUAGUCAUGGUAGCCUUACUUGACUUGGAGCUUGAGCAAAUGGAUGUAAAAACAGCAUUCCUUCAUGGUAAUCUUGAAGAACAGAUAUUGAUGGCACAACCUAAAUGUUUUGAGUGCAAAGGAAAUGAGGAUUAUGUUUGUUUGCUGCAUAAGUCCUUGUAUGGACUCAAGCAAUCCCCACGACAGUGGUACAUAAGAUUUGAUGAUUUUAUGGUCUCAAAAGGCUAUCACAUAAGCAAAUAUGACAGUUGUGUUUACUUUGGUGGAUCAUAUCAAGGUGGAGUUGCUUAUUUGCUUCUGUAUGUUGAAGAUAUGUUAAUUGCAAGAAAAUAUAAGUUGGAGAUAGAGAGGUUGAAGAAAUGAAGGAUCUCGGCAAUGCCAAAAGAAUCCUUGGGAUGAACAUUACAAGGGGCAGAUCUGCUGACACUUUGUUCUUGAGUCAUGAGAAAUAUAUCAAGAAGGUUCUGGAGAGGUUUGAGAUGCAAGACUAUAAACCUGUCCAAACACCACUUGGUCCCCAAUUCAAGUUGACAGCAGCUCAAUCAUCAGAAGAUGAGUCUCAGGUGAGUGAAUUCCCAUAUGCACAGGUUGUAGGGAGCCUGAUGUAUGUAAUGGUAUGCACCAGGUCAGAUAUAGCUUAUGCAGUAAGUGUUGUCAGCAAAUUUCUCAGUUGUCUAGGCAAGGUUCACUGGAAUGUUGUAAAAUGGAUAAUGAGAUAUCUUAAGGGCUCUUUUACUUGUGGUUUGCUGUAUGGGAAGACUAAGAGUGACAUAAGUGAAGUCCUGGGGUUUGUAGACUCUGACUUUGCUGGAGAUCUUGAUAGAAUGAAGUCAACCUCAGGGUAUAUGUUUGUGUUAAACAGUUGCCUGAUUAGCUGGAAGUCAUCACUUCAGUCUGUGGUUGCUUUAUCCUCAACUGAAGCUGAGUUUGUUGCAACUACAGAGGCAGUAAAAGAGGCCAUGUGGCUAAGAGGUUUGCUUAAUGAGUUAUGGUUAAAUCAGAAAAUUGUUCAGGUUUUCUGUGAUAACCAAAGUGUCAUACACCUGGUAAAGAAUCAGAUGUAUCAUGAAAGAACCAAGCACAUUGAUGUGAAGCUCCAGUUUAUCAGAGAUGAGGUUGGAAAAGGAACUAUAAUUGUGUCCAAGAUCUAUACCAGUGUGAAUCCAACUGAUGUUAUUACAAAAGCACUUCCCACUGCAAAAUUUGAAUUCUAUGUGAAUCUAAUGGGCAUCUCGCCCAAACCUAACUAAAUUCAAUAGUGAAUUGUAGUUGAAUGAAGGUUUUUUAGGUGCUGUGUUAUUGAAAGGAUCAACUGAAUCAACUGCAAGGUGGAGAAUGUGAAGAUGUGUGUGUGGACUGAAAUGAAGAAUAUGAAAAAGUUGAGAGCUGUUGUGCAGAUUGACUUCAGUUGAUGGGGUCUAUUAGAUAUUGUCUGCUGACGUGGUAUGAAUUCGUUAUAAUCUGUUAUAACGAGUUCAAUAUAUCAGUAUAUAAUGGAGCUGAUGGAUGGUGCCUGUUUUAGAGUCUUUUUCGUAUUCAUUUGUUCAUCAUUUUGCACAAGAUUUGUUCCAUUGUGAUCUGUGUAAAGUCUUCUGUAAAUCCACUCAUGAUUGGAUUAGUUCUUGAUCAAUAACGAGUAAAUUUUCCUUCAAGUGUGCUGGUCUGUGCCCCUGUUUUUGGUUCUAAUAUUGUUUCUUUGUUUUGGCAUUUCAUUUCGAUUGUGUGCUUGGUGUUUCUACUCAUCAAGAUUUGUGAGUCUUGUUGAGAUUAAAGGCUUAAUAGUCUUAACAAAAGGGAAUGUAGCAUUGCCAUUAAUCAACAUUCACUCUUAUGACUUUAUGACAUUAGAAUUAAAAUCUUUCGUACAUUUAAUUUAUUUGCUUCCAAAUUAAUCUUUAAUAAAUAUUUUUUCACAUUAUCAUCAAUGGACAAAACUCCAACGAAAAUAACUACACGAGAACAAUUUAUGCUAGUAUUAAAUGCCACGAUAUCUAUAACUUUGUCUGGAUCGAUCAUUCUAAUUUUUUCGCAGAACUUUUUGUCAAUGGACAAACACCUCACAGAGCUUGUCAGCCGCAUUAUUACGAUGUAAAAUUGUACCGGAAUAUCUUGAAUUAUUAGUAGAAUAAUGAAGACUAUUUGGGGCAAUAAAAACAAAUAACGCAGAUAAAAAAAUGGCUAAAAUUAUGUAAGUGAGCCCCAAAGUUUUUGCUAUUUCCAGGAAAUCCCAAAUUUGAAUGGACUAGAGGGAGGCACGUAAGAAAUACAUUUUCUUCCUAGACAAUGACAGCUAUGACAUCAAGCCACGGUGGCGUCAGUAUUGAAAUUAAGGUGUAAUUAUUCAGCCAAUGAGCCUUACACAUCAAGAUAAAAGUCAAGAUAAUGAAAAUUUGGCUGUUUCCAUUUGAAGUUAAAAGCAACGUUUCUUUCGUUUUGUGGGCGACUCGACUGAGCACGCCCCAAUAGCUAUAUUUAGGGCGUCAAUUUGAUAUUUGAAUGGACAGGCAAGUAAGAAAUACAUUUCCUUCAUAGACAAUGACAACGAGGACAUCAAGCCACAUCAUUAUAGUUUGUAGCCCAUCUACAUUUAAACGAUUAAUAAACAAGCUUAGGUGUGCCACUGCUAUUAUUAAUUAUCCCCUGAUCAUUAUAGUUUCUGAAACAGUAAAACUAAACGAAAUUGAAUACAUCAACGAGACCGCAAUUAUCACUUGUUUAGUUGCGGUAUUUAACUUAAUUUUAAUAUAAUAUAUUUGUUAGUUAAACUUUUAAUAAUCAAAUAAUUUUGAUUUAAAAAUAAAAUUAUAGAAAUUAUUAAUUAUUAAUUAUUAAAAAUUCACAAUUAAGGGAACGUUCAUCAAACACACAUAGCUAUUGUUUUCUCUAUAUAUUGCAGUGUGUACGAUAUUGAGGGUUGAAGCCCCAAGCAUGCUCUAAAAUCCAGAUAAUAAUUAGAUCCGGGCCAAAUAUUCAUCAUUGUGUCAGCUGAUCAGUCGGUGGACAUCUCUAUUGAAAAUAUCUCUGACAUUUCACUCGACAAACUUAUUAAUAUAAAAAAUCUGUGGUUUUGCCGUCUGAAUAAUGUAGAAAAAUUUGUCUAUGCAUUAAUCUAGAUGUUUGAGGUGAUUUAUACAUCUGUGGUAAAGAUUUAUAGGUUGACUUAGACGUCUGUGGUAUAGAUUUUAUGUAUUUCAUUACAAAAUGCUGGCCGUUAGAACCCUUUCUACAUCUAUUUAUAAGAUUAACGGGUGCCAGCUAUGCCAUUACAAAUUAUCCCCUCAUCAGAUAUUUCGUUAAAAUUCAUUCUGAAACACUAAAACUAAAUAAUCGAAUAUGGCUUUGCGGGUCGAUGAUGCCAGCAGCAAUGAGACUGCAAUUAUCACUUGUUUAGUUUCUGUGCUGGCCGUGGUUUACUUCGCAUGGAAUGUGAAAAAAUCAAGGAAAGCAAAUGCUACACUGCCACCAGGACCUCGCGGCUUGCCUGUAUUCGGAUACCUCCCAUUUCUUGGAACUACUGACUUGCACAAGAAAUUCACGGAAUUAUCCGGAGUUUAUGGUCCGAUCUUCAAGCUUUGGCUUGGAAAUAAAUUAUGUGUAGUGGUGAGCUCACCUUCCCUAAUUAGACAAGUGGUUCGUGAUCAAGAUACAACAUUCGCGAACCGUGACCCACCGAAGGCUGCACUAGUGGUCUCCUAUGGUGGCAAUGAUAUUGCAUGGUCCAAUUACGGUCCCGAAUGGAGAAAGUUGCGCAAAUUUUUUGUGGGCAAGAUGAUGAAUAACGCAAGCCUUGAUGCUUGUUAUGCUCUAAGAAGACAAGAGGUUAAAAAUACUAUCAGGGAUUUGUAUAACAACGACAACAAAAUUGGCAAGCCCAUUGACAUUGGUGAAUUGUCGUUUUCAACAUUGGUAUGUGCUAUACAGAACAUGCUGUGGGGUGAAGCGCUUGAAUUAAAAGAGAAAGGGACCACUAAUCUUAGGGCUGGGCUAAAAUUUAAGCUGGCAGAACUCAUGGUGCUUGCGGGAACACCGAAUAUUUCGGAUGUCUUUCCAAUGCUUUCAUGGCUUGACAUACAAGGUAUAGAGAGGAGAGCAAAGAAGAUUUCACUCUGGCUUGAUAAUGUUAUAAAUUCUACUGUUGAACAGCAUAGAAACAAGGAGUUAACUGUUGAAGGUGAAGAAAGAGCGGGGAAAAAUUUUGAAGGAUCAAGGAACAAGAACUUCUUGCAGUUACUAUUGGAGCUUCAAGAAAAUGAUGACAGUGCUUCCUCAAUUAGCAUGAACCAAUUCAAGGCCGUACUCGCGGUAUGUUAAGCAACUAGCCACGAACAGUUAUACAAGCACAAUUGUAUAUUUGCAUGAGUGAUAUUUUCAACCUUUUUUUUUAAUUAGAAUUUUAUUGUCACCUUUUGGACAGGAUAUAAUUACGGCUGGAACCGACACCACAACUACGAUGGUGGAAUGGACAAUGGCAGAGUUGAUGCAGCAUCCACAAGUAAUGAAGAAAGUUCAGGAAGAAUUAGCUCAAGUUGUGGGCAUGGACAGUUGUGUUGAAGAAUUUCACCUGUCUAGAUUAAUGUAUUUAGAUGCUGUGGUGAAGGAAACAUUUCGUCUGCAUCCUGCAGUGCCUUUAUUACUACCACGUAGGGCAAGCGAGAGUGGCAACAUUGGUGGCUAUACCAUUCCCAAAGAUACAACUCUUAUGUUGAAUGUUUGGGCUAUCCACAGGGACCCUCACCUUUGGGAUAAUCCCUUAGAAUUUCGACCCGAGAGGUUUCUGAAUGUUGGUAUCGAGAGUAAGUUCGAUUACUCAGGUAACAAUUUUCAGUACUUGCCAUUUGGUUCUGGUAGAAGGAUGUGUGCUGGGAUUCCUCUAGCUGAGAGGAUGCUGAUGUUUGUUUUGGCUUCGUUAUUGCACUCAUUCGAGUGGGAAUUGCCAACUGGCACAAAGCUAAACUUAUCAGAAAAAUUUGGGAUUGUCAUUAAGAAAAAAGAGCCUUUGGUUGCUAUUCCAACACCAAGACUAUCCAAUUCAGAGCUCUACCAUUAAGACCAAAUGGUUGUGAUGAUUUUGUUAAUUUCCGAAGAUUUGUAUGUUAUUUCAAGUUCAAUCGUAGUAAAAUAUUUCAAAUAAGAGUCCUCCGUUGCUUUUUUUUUUUUUUUUCAACGGCAUAAUCUGUGGUCAUGCUUGUAUUUGGAGCCACUUUAGAAAAAUUAUGUUUGAAUUACAAUUUAUAAAUAUUACAUUUUAAAAUAUUAUGAGGCUAAAUUUAUACACGUUCAAUAACCCGCUUCAUAUAUAUUUAACACAAUUUAUAUCAUACAUUGUACACCCAUUUAUCAUAAAUUACACUAUUUUGUAUCUCUAAAUAAUAUUACGUAUUGAUAUUAUAAAAUAUAUAUGGAAAAGAGAACAAAGAAGAUUUCUUAUGGUUUGAAAAUAUUAUGAAUUCUGCUGUUGAACAGUAUGGAAACAAGGUCUCUGUUGUUAAAGGUGAAGAAGCAACAGGGAACAAUAUUGAAGGAAGAAAUUUCACAUGUUUAGUUGCUGAAUUUGCCGCUGUAUUCUAUCGGUAGUAAAAAAAUUAGAGUUUUUAUUUUUCUCUAUUAAUGUUAAGUCAAUUUUCUAUAACAAAUUCGGUUGAGUUUAAUUGUGUUACAAUAUAAAUUGAAUGAUAAUAGAAUUUUCAACGAAUAUUUCAAUAUUUCUAUCUCGAUUGUUGAAGUGCCAUUUAUUUGUUAUGCGAUCGAUUUUAAAAUUUAUAAAAAUUAUUUGUUACUAAAUUGCAUCAUAUGCUAAAAUCACCUGAAACCUAAUUCCAUAACUAACCCUUUAUUUUUAGUUCUCAAGAAAUCUUGUAAGAACAAAAUUCUUUUAUAACAAAACUUUUACAACACAUUAAUUUGUAACUCAUUCCUGUGCGAGAAUCACUCUCAAAUUCCUUCAAUUGCUGUUGAACAAUCAUCUGCUUAUCAAAAUUCAAGCAUAAUCUUUUCUUUUUUUUAAUUUCUUCAUCAUUCUUUUGAAAAAAAAAAAUCAGGAUAUGCUGUUAAAAUUUUGAAAUAAAUUAUCUCAAAAUAAUUACUAACCAGAAAAAACAAAGGGGUUUAACUAGGUUAUGCAUACCUUUGAAAAUUAUAUGUUGAUCGAUAAGAAUGAUGAUCACGAUUGAGGAGUUUAAUUAAAAUAUAUAAGAUUUUAAAAUUAAUCAGGGUUAAAUUGUGAAUUUUAGAAAGAGAGGUUUUGUGAGAAUGCUGAAAGGGUGUUAAUAGUUCCACUCUUUUUAAAAGCAACCAUAGUCAUCAUUUUUCCCGAUUUCUUCUUCCCAUCUCCAUCUUAUUUAGAAAUUUCCCAGAGCCUUUGUUUCCCACCUUUCAUUGUUCUUCUUUCUAAUUUAAUACUAUAGGAUUACAAAAAUAAUUACUCACAUUUUAUCAAACACCUCCAUUCUACCAAGGCCUUGUUUUAGUAGUAGGCUUUUAUUAUCUCAAUAAAAUUGAAAAAACAAAUCUCAAUAAUAUUGGAAAAAAAAAACCUACCCAUAUUUGUAACUUUAAUUUAUUAUUCUCCAUAGACCUACUUUUUAGCUUUGAAUUUUGUUGGAGCCAUAUAUAAACAGAAUAUGUUGAAUCAGCACCAAAAAAAAAAAAAAAAAACUAAUUAUAUAAUUUCUGUUCCCAAGGACAUGACUGAUUGAUUUUCAAGAAGUUUUGUUUGGCUGGCUACUUAGGUUUAAAUCUUGGUGGAGAUUAGGGGUUAAGAAAUAAAUUUGGACUUUGCACACCCCUUUAACUUUUAAAAAGAAAUGAAAAAAACUAAUUAAUUAAUCUUUAUUUUAUUUAUUAAAUAUCAUAAUCCUAUGCGUAUUUUAUUUGUUAUCUUUCUAUUUAAAAGACAGGAGGGCAGAUAAAACUGAAAUAAAUUUUUAGCCCUAUCUCCAUCUUUCAAGUUCCAUAGUUAGGUGACCAGGUAAAGAAAAUUAAUUGAAAGCUACUCCAUCAAAUUAAAAAAUUUUAUUUAUUUAAUUUGUGGAGAUGUAGAAAAUCAAACCCCAUGCCUUUUCGCGUGGAAAAGUGUCAACCUGGUCUAGCUAUGUUGCAAAAGUGAACAUAUUUUAAUACAUGACUAUCAUCCUUUAUCCUAAAUACUACUAUAACUAAUAACAUACAAUUGAAAUAAUUAAUGUUAACACUUGGCUAUAAAUAAAGGUUUUGUGCUUGAAUCUUCACGCAUGACCUUCAUUCCUUUAUUUACUUUGCUAACACAGAUUUUGAGGCAUUAAAACUAAAUAAUAAUUGACUUUGUGGGCCGAGGAUGCCAGCAACAAGGAGACCACAAUUAUCACUUGUUAAGUUACUCUAAUUGCCGUUGUCUUAUAUUCAUAGAAUAUUAGUAAUAAGAUUAUUGUAGAAUUUUUUUAUAUUAAAAUUAAGUCAAUUUGUUAUAACAAAUUUAGUUGAGUUUAAUCGUGUUACCACAUAAAUUGAAUAAUAAUAAAAUUCUCGACAAAUAUUUCAAUAUUUUUAUCCCAAGCGUUGGAGUGGCAUUUAUUUGUUAUACGAUCAAUUUUAGAAUUUAUAAAAUUAUUCGUUACUGAAUUGCACCAUAUGCUGCAUGACCUGAAACUUAAUAAACGGAACGUAGCGUUGGCACCGUUACUCAACAUACUGUUACGACUUUGUGACAUUAGAAUUAAAAUCUUUUGCACAUUUAAUUUGUUUACUUCCAAAUUAAUAUUUAACAAAAUAUUUUUUCACAUUAUCAAUGGACAAAACUCCAACGAAAAUAACUACACAAGAAAAAUGUAUGCUAGUAUUGUGUGCCAUAUCAUCUGUAAUUUUGUCAGGAUCGAUCAUUCUAAUUUUUAAGCAGAACUUUUUAUCAAUGGACAAACACCUCACACAGCUUGUCAGAGGCAUUAUUAUGAUGGAAAACUGUAAUGGUAUAUCUUGAAUUAUUGGUAGAAUAGUUCUUUGGAGCAAUAAAAACAGAUAAGACAGAUGAGAAAAUUGUCAAUACCCCACCGCAAAAGCAAAAGAAAAAAAGGAAAGGAGACAAAAGAGGAAGAAGAAAAAGAAAAAAGAACGAAGAAAAAAAUGGUGCCGCGCGGUAUAGGCAAGAAGAAAAAAUAAUAAUAAAAUAAUAAAAUAAUAGUGCACAACAGUCAUUUGAUUGCUAUAAAUAAAGGGGCAUUUCCCUCAUUUUAUUCAUCGAAUUCUUCAGUUCCUAAGCGAUUUAAGAGUCUAGUGAUUUGAGAGUUUGGGUAUAGUAUAGUUUUGAGUAGUGAGUUAAAAUAUUACAAUACUUAUAACUUAUUUUUACUAAUAAAAUAUUUUUCUUCUAUCUUCACCCGUGGACGUAGGGUCAAAGCCGAAUCACAUAAUUUUUAGUAUCCCUAUGUGAUUAUGUAUCUCAUUAUUUUUCAAUUUUACUUUAGUUACGUGUCUGCUACAUCCUUCAAUUUACUAACAAAAAUGGCCAAAAUUAUAUAAGUGACCCAAAUUUUUUUGCUAUUUCCAAGAAAUCUCCAAUCUGAAUGGGCCAGACCAGAGGGAGGCAAGUUAGAAAUACGUUUCCUUCAUAGACAAUAACAGCGAUGAGUCGAUGACAUCGAGCCACGUCGGUAUCAAUAUUGAAUUAAAGGUGCAAUUAUUCAGCCAAUGAGCCUUACACAUCAAGAUAAAAGUCAAGAAAAUGAAUAUUUAUCCUAAUUAAAACACUUUCUGGCUGCAUUUAGUUGUUUCCAUUUGAAGUUAAAAGCAACGUUUCUUUCGUUUUGUGGGCAACUCGACUCAGUUAGCUGGCUUCUAGUGCUAGUAAGUGAAAAUAGAAGGCUAAUGAUUUAUUUGUUAUCUUUUGAUAAAAUUAUUAAAGAUAUAAUAGAUUUUUCAUGAUACAAAUAAAAAAUCACAUCAACAUAGCUUCCAAAGUACAACAGCUAAUGUUUACCAAACACUUUGUUGUAGCUUUUAAGCUACAGCUGCCCAACUUUAAUUUCAAAUGCACCCUUAAUAGGUUGAUUGAAUUUGUGGGAUAUAGAUUCCACAUAUCGUAUGACCUAGUAACUAUACAAGUGGUUCGUGAUCAAGACACAACAUUUGCUUCCGGCCCGGUGACCCAGCAAUCGCUGCAUUGGUCGCCACCUAUGGUGCCAACGAUAUUGCAUGGUCCAAUUGUGGCCUUGAAUGGAAAAAGUUGAGCAAAUUAUUUGUGGACACGAUGAUAAGUAACGCAAGCCUUGAUGCUAGUUAUGGUCCAAGAAAACAAGAGAUAUGCAUAACAACAAAAAGGAAAAAAAAAAAAAAAAAAAAAAAGGCAUUUGCAAGCCCAUUGAUAUUGGUGAAUUGUCGAUUUCAACUUUGGCAUGUGUAAUCCAGAGCCUGCGCGCUGUGGUGUGGCGCUGGCACGCUUGCAUUGACGAGGGGACAAGUCUUGGGGCUGAGCUAACAUUUAAGCUCGCAGAACUCAUGGUGCUAAUGGGAACACCAAAUAUUUUUUGACAUAUUUUGGUGCUUUCAUGGUUUAAUUCAAGGUAUAGAAAGGAGUGUUGAGAAUGUCAAAUAAAACGGUAUUGAAUGGAAGUUGUUAAAGACACGAUCCGCACCGAACGACAACAGCACGGUUGCUAAAAAUCCUUCCGUAAUAGGCAUAUCUAAUUUUUGAAAAAGUGUAACCUCUACAUUUAUAAAUAUACUCAAUGUAUAAUGUUUUACUUAAGAAAUGAAAAACUUGUUUGUUCAAGGAGAAUAAAGAAAAAUUUUCUAUGAUUUUUCUAUGGUUUGAACAAAGAAGGUUUUAACGAGUAUUAUAGACCUCGAUUGAAUGUUCGAAUGUAUAAUAAAAGAGAAACUGUCACAUAAAUGACAAAGAUACUUGAAAAAAAAAAAAAAGGGCAGCAAUAGAGAAUUAGAUCCGACUGUACAAAUAACUAGUUAAUUCAUCGAUACAUCAUUUUCUUGCUAGAAAAUGACAAUUAUGACAGCAAGCCACGAUAGUGUCAAUAUUGAAAUUGAUUUGCAAUUAUUCAGCCUAUGAGCCUUACACGUCAAGAUAAAAGUCAAGAAAAUGAAAGUUAAUAUCAAUUAAAACACUUCCAUUUCUAUGUGAAGUUAAAAAACAACGUUUCUUUUGUUUUGUGGGGGAUUCAACUGAGCACGCGCCACUAGCUAGCUGGCUUCUAGUUCUAGCAUAUGAAAACAGAAUUCUAAAGAUUUCACUUUCACCUUUUUUCUUUUUUUGGGGUUUUGAAUCAAAGUCAAGGUCGCACUGAAUAAUAUGUAAAAUUUGAAAAAGAAGAAUUAAUAGAGAACAAAGUUUUGUUUUAAAUUCACAUGGUGUGCAUACAAUUCAACAAACACUUCCUAUAAUAAAUCUGGAGUUGUAUCCCACGUUGAACAAUAAAGGAAAGUCACCUAAAUAUACAUGUAGGAUAAGUUACUUUAUUUAGUAAGUUUGUAUUUUCUUCUUUCUUCUAGUUUACAUAUAAAUUUGAUUAGAUAACUUAACACAUAUUUUAAUACUUGAUCAGAAGCCCGACGUACAGGUGGAUCUAGAAACUUGAUUUCUAAGAGUAAUACUAUAAUAAAAAAAUAAUGAUUCAUAGAACCAAUAUCAAAAUUUGUUUACAAGAUUGCCCCCACUCAAAGGUAAUUUUCAUAGAAAUUAAUAGGAAAUUUAAUUGUUAGUGGGGUCAAAUUGCCCCCACACUCUGAAUGUAGAUCCACGCCCGACCCUGAGUCAAGUAUAUUUUGCCACAUAUACUCUGAAUGUCGGCAGGAAAAAUCUUCCACUUUAGUUAAAAAUUUUCACUUAAAAAAUAUUUAUGUUAAUAAAGUUCGUAAAGGAAAUGAGUUUAAUUAAUGAAUAUUAUAGGAGAAAUUAAAGGAAAUGAGUUUAAUUAAAGAAUAUUAUAGGAGAAAUUCUAUUGUUCGGCUUUUAAUAAAUUAAUUAAUAGGUUUAAAAGAUUAAUAUACAUCAAAAUAUUAUUAGUUGGUGGGGGUUCCACAUCGGACUAAUACGUGUCACCUUACUUGUGAGAUUAAGACAAUCGACUUAGACUAUUUAAAUAUGUUUGAAGCUUAGAUGGCACCGCUUCAAUUUGCAUUACUGAAUGUCAUUCUUUAUCCUAAUUACUACCGUAAUUGAUAACAUGCAAUUGAAGUAACUAAUAUUAGCACUUGGCUAUAAAUGAACUAAAGGCCGUGCAAUUGAAUCUUUACUUGAUCACUUCACUCCUUUAUUUUGCUAACACAGAUUUUGAGAUAUUAAAACGAAAUAAUAAUUGAAUCUGGCUUUGUGGGUCGAUGAUGCUAGCAAAAACGAGACCACAAUUAUCACUUGUUUAUUUGCUGUAUUUGACGUUGUUUCAUAUUGGUAGUAAUAGGGUCAGUUUUUAAUCUUUUUAUAUUAAAGUUAAGUCAAUUUGUUAUCAAAAAAAAAAAUUGGUUGAGUUUAAUUAUAUUGCUAUGUACAUUAAAUAAUUAUAAUAUUCUUGAGGGAAAAAGACACCUAGAACCUCAAGGUUUGGGGAAAUGGUCACAAAGACUCCUAAGUUUUAAAAAAGGAACACUAAGAUCUUUUUUUACCCAUAAUACCCUUUGACUAGAGUAAUUAAAAAAUUGACUUUAAAGGUUUUUAAAUAAUUCUAAUUUAAUAUAAAUCAUAUAAUCUAUCUAGUAAACUAAUAAUAUUAAAUUAUUUUUUAUAUUUAAAAUAAUGUUAAAUUUUAAAUUAUUAUAUUUAUAAAAUUAUAAAGAUUUUAAAUAAAUAUUUGGAUUGAAUAUAUUUUACAAUUAAAAGUCUUCCUAUUAAUAAUAUUAAAAUUUAAUUUUACAAAAUAUAUAUUCAAAAUAUUUUUAAUUUUAAUUUAUUUAUUUUAAUAUUAUGUUUCUACCUAUUAUUAAAAAUUACUUUAAUAUAAUAAAAUAGGUCUAAUAGAUUGAAAAAUAUGAAAAUAUUUUUAAAAUUUUAAAUUAUUUUGAAAUGUAUAUAUUAUUACAUUUAUUUCAAUGUCAUAUUUUCAUUUAUUAUAAAAUUUUGGGGUUAUUUUUUUGGGAAUUUAUAGAGUCAAAGAGCAUUAUAAUUUAAUCCAUGCACAAUAUCUAUAAUUAUAUCGGUUGUCGGCUGAUUUCGUGGAGGGGGCGGCAGUUCAAAAUUUUUACGUGCAUGUUGGAUGGACGUCUCUAUUAAAGGAGAGCCACCACUUGCAUGGUAAUUUUUUUAAAUAAAUAUAUACAUUUCAAAACAUUAUUUUCUUGUUGUAUAGUUAACAUGUCACCUUAGAUGUAUUUUAGAGCUUCUCCUAUUAAAGAUAAUCUCAUGCAGUGUUACAGAGUAUGGUAAUAUGGUAUAGAUGAGAGCAUCUGAUUAAAUGAAGCAGCUGGUAAUGCUUACGUGUGUGAGUUAGUUAUCCAGCUCAGCAGCAAAGCAAACGAAAUGAAUUGCAUGCAUAUUAGAUCCAACAAACUGGUAAACUCUAGAUUCUUCUUUCAUUUAGUAUAAAUACCAAGUUGUUAUCAUUUGCUAAAUAUAUAAUAAGAUGAUCAUUUUCAGAUCUUUCCUUUAUAAUUUUCUAUAACUUUCUCGUUAGUUUCUCUUGAACCAAACACUUUGUACGAACUCUUUCGUGCAGUGAUACUUCUCGUGAUCUAAUCAUUAGUAGAAUCUAUAAUUUCGCUACUGUAAUAAAAUCUGUCACUACCCUAUAUGAAUGUAGAUAUUUGACGCGAUUUGUAAUUGCUUCCGACAGGAAAACAGCAAUAGUUUUAUUGAAAUUUGUGGUAUAGAUUCCACGAAUCUUAUGACAGAAUACUGACCACUCCAACCCUAUCCGCAUUUACACGAUUAAUACACAAGCUUAGAUGUGACAAUGCAUUUGUCACUCAUUCAAAUUCAUCCUGAAACACUAUACACUAAAUAAUCGAAUAUGGCUUCGUGGGUCGAUGAUGCUAGCAGCAACGAGACUGCAAUUAUCACUUGUUUUGUUGCUGUACUUGUCGUGGUCUAUUUCGCAUGGAAUGUAAACAAAUCAAGUAAAGCAAAUGCUAAAUUGCCACCAGGACCUCGGGGCUUGCCAGUAGUCCGAUACCUCCCAUUUCUUGGAACUACUGACUUACACAAGACAUUCACGGAGUUAUCUGGAGUUUAUGGUCCGAUCUUCAAGAUUUGGCUUGGGAAUAAAUUGUGUGUAGUGGUGACCUCGCCUACCCUAGUUAAACAAGUGGUCCGUGAUCAAGAUAUAACAUUCUCAAACCGCGACCCACCGAUCGCUGGAACUGUGACCACCUACGGUGGCAAUGAUAUUGCACUUUCCAAUUACGGUCCCGAAUGGAAAAAGUUGCGAAAAUUAUUUGUGAGCAAGAUGAUGAGUAAUGAGACCCUUGAUGCUUGUUAUGCUCUAAGAAAACAAGAGGUUAAAAAUACUAUCAGGGAUUUGUAUAACAACAAUAAGGAUAAUAUUGGCAAUGGCAAUGGCAAGCCCAUUGACGUUGGUGAAUUGUCGAUUUCAACUUUGGUACGUGUUAUGCAGAACAUGCUGUGGGGUCAAGCAUUGGAAACAAGAGAGAAAGAGAUUACUAAUCUCGGGGCUAAUCUUGCAGAACUCAUGGUGCUACUGGGAACACCAAAUAUUUCGGAUAUUUUUCCAGUGCUUUCAUGGCUUGACAUGCAAGGUAUAGAGAGAAGAGCUAAGAAGAUUUCUCUAUGGUUUGAAAAUAUUAUCAAUUCUGGUGUUGAACAGUAUAGAAACAAGUUCUCUGUUGUUAAAGGUGAAGAAGCUGCAGCACGAAAAAAUAUUGAACGAUCAAGAAAUAAGGACUUCUUGCAGUUGCUGUUGGAGCUUCAGGAAAAUGAAGAUAGUGCUUCAUCUAUUAGCAUGAACCAACUAAAGGCCGUGCUCGUGGUAUGUUAAGCAACUAGACACAAAAAGUUGUAAAAGCACAGCGAUAUAUUUGCGCGAGGCCCCGAGUGAUGUUUUGCCUCGAGAACUCUCAAUUUUAUCUUACGGUAAAAAAUGUUUUUCAACUUUUUUUUUUAAUUAGAAUUUUAUUGCAAUUUAUUUAACAGGACAUAAUUGUGGCCGGAACCGACACCACAACUACGAUGGUGGAAUGGACAAUGGCAGAGUUGAUGCAACAUCCACAAGUAAUGAAGAAAGUUCAAGAAGAAUUCGCUCAAGCUGUGGGCAUGGACAGUUGUGUUGAAGAAUAUCACUUGCCUAAAUUAAAGUAUUUAGAUGCUGUGGUGAAAGAAACAUUUCGUUUGCAUCCUGCGUUGCCCUUAUUGGUACCUCGCACGGCAAGCAAGAAUAGCAACAUUGGUGGCUAUACCAUUCCCAACGACACUAAUCUUAUGUUGAAUGUUUGGGCUAUCCACAGGGACCCUCAACUUUGGGAUAAUCCCUUAGAAUUUCGACCUGAGAGGUUCUUGAAUGAUGGUAUCAUAAGCAAUUUCAAUUACUCGGGUAACAAUUUUCAGUACUUGCCAUUUGGUUCUGGUAGAAGGAUGUGCGCUGGGAUUGCUCUAGCUGAGAGGAUGUUGAUGCUUGUUCUGGCUUCGUUGUUGCACUUGUUUGAGUGGAAAUUGCCCUCGGGCACAAAGCUAGACUUAUCUGAAAAGUAUGGGAUUGUCAUGCGGAAAAAAGAGCCUCUAAUUGCUAUUCCAACACCAAGGCUACCAAAUUCAGAUCUCUACCAGUAAGAUCAAAAUGGUUUUGAUAAUAUUAUUUCCCAUUGUAUUGGAUUUGAAGUUCAAUCAUAAUAAAAUAUUUUAAUAAAAUGUCCUCGGUUGCUAAUUUUUCAAUAGUAUAAUCUGCACCUGUCUUUUAUAGCAAUUUGGUCUAAUUUAUUUUUGAAUUAAAAUCCAUAAAUAUUUAUAUUUUUUUAAUUAUAUUAGGAAUUAUGUGGGGUGUAUGGUCUGAUCUUCGAGCUAUGCCUUGAAAACAAAUUAUGCAUAGUCGUGCACACGCUUUCCCUAAUUAAGUUUGUGGUUCGUGCUCAAGGCACAGCAUUCACCCCCCGCGACCCAACAAUCGCUACAUUGUUCCCCACCUAAAGUGCCAACAUAUUGCAUAAGUAACGCAAAAUAUGGUCCCCAAUGGAAAACGUUGCGCAAAUUAUUUCUGGGCAAGAUGAUAAGUAACGCAAGCCUUGAUGCUUGUUAUGGUCUAAGAAAACAAGAGGUUAAAAAUACUAUCAGAGACAUAUAUAAAACAACAACAGAAAAAAUUGGCAUUAUCAUCGAUAAUGGUGAGUUGUGGAUUUCAACUUUGGUAUGUUUAAUUCAGAACCCGCAGUGGGGUGGCGCUAGCACGCCUGCGUUAGGAGACGAGGGGACCAAUCUUGGGGCCGAGCUAAAAUAUAGGCUUGUAGAGCUCAUGCUGCUAAUGGUAAUGGGAACACCUACUAUUUCGGAUACUUUUCCGAUGCUGGUUUAAUUCAUGGUUUAGAAAGGAGAACAAAGAAGAUUUUUCGAUGCUUUGAAAAUAUUAUAAUUUUUAUAAAAUCUCUUAUUGAUAACUAAACAACUAAAAUUUCUGUAAAGUUUUUGUGGACUUUUGAUCUCCUAUGGUGCCAAUAUUUUCGACUAAUUUUUUCCUUCAAUUAAUGAUGUUGGUUGAGAAAGACUAUUUUUCUUGCAAUAAUAUAGUAUUCGUGGUCCUAUUAGGGUUCCGAAUGGAGAAAGUUGCACUAAGUUUUUUGAGUACCAAAUGAUGAGUAAUGUACGUAAGCCUUGAUGGUAGUUAUGGUCUAAGAAAACAAGAGGUUAAAAAUACUAUCUGGGAUUUGUACAACAAUAACAAAAUUGGCAAGCCCAUUGACAUUGGUGAAUUGUCAGUUUCAACCUUGGUAAGUGUUUUCAGAACAUGCUGUGGGGUGAAGCGCUUGGAAUAAGAAAGAAACGGAUGACGAAUAUUGGGGCUGAGCUUAGAUUUAAACUUGCAGAACUCAUGGUGCUGUCAGGAACACCGAAUAUUUCGGAUAUCUUUCCAGUGCUUUCAUGGUUUGAUAUACAAGGUUUUGAGAGAAUAGCAAAGAAGAUUUCUCUAUGGUUUUAAAAUAUUAUCAAUUCUACUGUUGAACGCUAUAGAAACAAGGUCUCAGUUGUUAAAAGUGAAGAAGAAGACGCAGCAGCAGCAGCAGCAGGGAACAACAUUGAAGGAAGGAAUAAGGACCUGGUGCAGUUACUCUUGGAGCUUCAAGGUAAAGAAGAAAAUGCUUCAUCAAUUAACAUGACGCAAUUUAAGAGCUUGCUCGUGGUAUGUUUGCGCAACUAGCCACAGACAGUUACAGAAACUGAGUUUGGCAGAUUACGACCGUUUCUGGUGAUUAUAUAACUAUUUGUGGCUGUUUUUUGUUUUUUUUUUCUUUUAAUUGGAAUUUUAUUGUAAAUUUCUUAACAGGAUAUAAUUUAGGGUGGAACCAACACCACAACUAUAAUGGUGGAAUGGACAAUGGCAUAAUUGAUACAGCAUCCACAAGUAAUGGAGAAUGUAAAGGUAGAACUAAGUCGGGCCGUGGCCAUUGACAGCCAUGUUGAAGAAUUUCACCUACCUAAGUUAAAAUAUUUAGAUGUUGUGGUGAAAGAAACAUUCCGCACGAUAAUAUAAUAUAUGAAUCAUAUAUCCUCUAUUGGUUUUUUGCUCCUUUUUUUUUCAAUAGCUUAAUCUAUCAUUAAAAUCUUCUGAAAUUCUAAAUUAAUAUACAUUCAACCUAGAGUUCAACCCAAAGUUUUAUUGAGCAUUAAAAAAAAAAAUUCUACGACUAAAAAUUUUACAGAGUAUAAAUUAAAAAUUAUGCGCCUACUAACAGACAAAAAACAAUUGAUACACAUUCACCAAUCAAAGGCAAACAAGAGAUUAUUAACAAUAACUUAAUAAUAAAAUUAUAAGGAAUCAAAUAGAAAUGGUACCUAGAAACACAUCACGCCAUUUAAUCAAUCACUUACCCAUAAAAUCCAAACUUAUAAACUAUUAAGGGGGGGAAAUGGAUACCUUUGGGUUUCAUUAAAUCAAAAUUACAACACCAUUAAAUACUCAAAAAUGAAAAAAAAAAAAUCAUACCCAAUAAAAGAGAAAAAAAUAACCCACAAAAAAAAUCAUCAAGAAAAUAAAUUUGAGACUAAGAGAAGAUAUUAAUUAACGCCUGGGUUGCAUUGGAACCACGGCUUUGGCUUCCAUUUUUCAAUUCUUGGUCACAAGUGAUUUCUUGUUUGUUUGCAAUGAUGACGGUUGAUUAAUGAAGCUCUAUUAACAAUGAAUGAAUCAAAAAACUUGAGCCUUGAAAAGACUAACGGUCAUAUUUUUCAACUCCGAAUUAGUGGCGUUUGAUGAGUCCUUGCCAAAACAAUCACUCGGCAGAUAACGAUCAUUUUUCAACCAGCAAAACUCAUUCAUUGUUUUUCACCUUAGUGAAGAUUUAAAAAUUGUUUCAAAAUAGGAUUCUUAAAAAAAUAAUAAUAAAAUGAUAUUUAACUUAAUUCUAACUUAGGAAAACAAAAUAUCUACACUCCCAAAGUUUGGAGAAAUGGUCAUUAAUAUCCCCAACUUUCCAAAAAGAGACACCAAGAACCCUUUUAACCAUAAUACUAUUUACUUCUAUUAUCCCAAAAAACAAUUGACUCUAAUAUUUUAUAAUAAAUAAAAAUAUAACAUUAAAAUAAAUGUAAUAGUAUAUACAUUUUAAAAUAGUUUCAAUAUUUAAAAAGCAUUUUAAUAUUUUUAAAUUCUAUUUUAUAUAUAUUGAUUAUUUUAAAGUAAAUUUUAUAAUAAAUAGAAUCAUAAUAUUAAAAUAAAUGCAUUAAAAUUUAAAUUAUUUUGAAUAUUAUGUAAAAUAAUAAUUUUAACAUUAUUAGUAUAUGAGAAUUUUUUUAAUUGUAGAAUGCAUUUAAUGCAAAUAUUUAUUUAAAAUCUCUACAAUAAAUAAAAAUAUACUAUUAAAACAAAACUCUACAAUACAUACAUACAUACAUAUACAUUGGCCUGGUAUUUUUAUUUUUCAUUUUUAAACUUAUUAAAUCCUCUAACUAUCAUUUGAUUUUUUUUUUUUUUCAAUGAUCAAGAGGUCAUUGCCGGAUAAAUGAUUAAAAUCAACUAGUUCUACAAGAAUAUCUCUUUUUAAAGGAAGAUGAUUCUCUCUCUCGAAAUUUUUUUAUCUCGUGCUACAAACUAAAAACUUAUGCCACUUCAUUAACCACAAAGAUCUUUGAGGAAAUGAUGCUUCCCUCCCCCCCCCCCCCCCCCCCCCUCCCACAAAAAAAAAAAAGAGUCCUUCCAUAUUGUGUGAAGGCUAAUAUAUCGAUGAAUCUAGAUUUCUUUAAAUUUUUUGUUUUACUCAAUUCGAGAUAAUAAUUCAAUCCAUGCAAAUAUCUAUCAUUGUAUGAGCUGACCAGUUAAUAGGUUGAUUGAAUAUAUGUGGUAAAGAUUCCACGUAUCUCAUGACAGAAUGCUGACCACUGGAACCCUAUCUACUUUUACGCGAUUAAUUCACGAGCUUAGGCACAACAAUUGCAAUACAAAUUAUCCCCUCAUCGUAUAUUUCGUUAAAAUUCAUUCUGAAGCAGUAAAACUAAACAAUCGAAUAUGGCUUUGCGGGUCGAUGAUGCCAGCAGCAAUGAGAGUGCAAUUAUCACUUGUUUAGUUUCUGUGCUUGCCGUGGCUUAUUUCGCAUGGAAUGUGAAAAAAUCAAGGAAAGCAAAUGCUAAACUGCCACCAGGAACUCGCGGCUUGCCUGUAGUCGGAUACCUCCCAUUUCUCGGGACUACUGACUUGCACAAGAAAUUCACGGAAUUUAUUUUACUAUUAUAUUUAUAUUCAAAAUAAUUUUAAUUAGCUUUUAAAAUGAAUGAUUUUAGGAAAUUAUAAAUAAAGGUAACUAAGAAUUCUCUUAAUGCAAUAUAUUAUUAAUUAGUUUAAAAAUACAAAUUUAUUAAUUAGAGAAAUUAUUAGUGAAUUUAAAUUAAUGAUCUUAAUGAUUUGUUUGUACGAUUGCCCCCAAUCAAAGGUAAUUUUCCUAAAAAUUAUUAGGAAAUUAGAGAAAUUUAAUUUUUUUUAGUGGGUUCAAUUGCCCACACACCCCGACUGAAGCAUUUUUUACAAUAUGUACUCCGUUUGUCGGCAGGAAAAUAAAGGUCUUGACACAUGAUCACUUCAUUCCUUUAUUUACUUUGCGAACGCAGAUUUUGAGGUAUUAAAACAAAUAAUAAUUGAAUAUGACUUUGUGGGUCGACGACGCCAGCAACGAGGAGACCGCCAAUUAUCACAUUUUAAGUUUGCUGUAAUUGCCAUUGUUUUAUAUUAGUAGAAUAUUAGUGAUAAGAUAAUUGUAGAGUUUUCAUUUUUUUAAUAUUAAAAUCAAGUCAAUUUAUUAUAAUAAAUUUAGUUGAAUUUAAUCGUAUUACCACAUAAAUUGAAUAAUAAUAGAAUUCUCCACAAAUAUUUCAAUAUUUUAAUCUCAAGCAUUGGAGUGGCAUUUAUUUGUUAUGCGGUCGAUUUUAGAAUUUUUAAAAUUAUUCGUUACUGAAUUGCACCAUAUGCUGCAUCACCUGGAACUUACUAAACGGAACGUAGCGUUGGCACCGUUACCAACAUUCACUGUUACGACUUUGUGACAUUAGAAUUAAAAUCUUUUCCACAUCUAAUUUGUUUACUUCCAAAUUAAUAUUUAACAAAAUAUUUUUUCACAUUAUCAAUGGACAAAACUCCAACGAAAAUAACUAUACAAGAAAAAUGUAUGCUAGAAUUGUAUGCCAUAUCAUCUGUAAUUUUGUCAGGAUCGAUCAUUCUAAUUUUGAAGCAGAACUUUUUAUCAAUGGACAAACACCUCACACAGCUUGUCAGAGGCAUUAUUAUGAUGUAAGAUUGUAAUGGUAUAUCUUGAAUUAUUGGUAGAAUAGUGAAUAACUAUUUGGAGCAAUAAAAACAAAUAAGACAGAUGAGAAAAUGGCUAAAAUUAUAUAAGUGACCCAAAUUGUUUUGCUAUUUCCAAGAAAUCCCCAAUCUGAAUGGACCAGCCAGAGGGAGGCAAGUUAGAAAUAUGUUUCCUUCAUAGACAAUAACAACGAUGAGUCGAUGACAUCAAGCCACGUCGGUAUCAAUAUUGAAAUAAAGGUGCAAUUAUUCAGCCAAUGAGCCUUACACAUCGAGAUAAAAGUCAAGAAAAUGAAAAUUUAUCCCAAUUAAAACACUUUCUGGCUGCAUUUAGCUGUUUCCAUUUGAAGUUAAAAACAACGUUUCUUUCGUUUUGUGGGCGACUCGACUGAGCUAGCUGGCUUCUAGUGCUGGUAAGUGAAAAUAGAAGGCUAAUGAUUUCACUUUCACAUUUUUCUUUUCCUUUUUUGGGAAUCAAAGUCAAGGUCAAGAAGAAUAAAUGGAGAAUUCGGAAAAAUGGGUGCAUAAUGUGAUCCAUUCAUGAAGAAGAGUACGUGAGCGUCGGGCAACAGUAUUUUUACCUAUUAAGCUCCAGUUUAAUUUUGUUGUAGGAAAACAAAAUUUUGUUUUCAAUUCACAUCGUGUGCAUCCAAUUCAACAAACACUUUGUAAUAAUUAAUGUUGAGUUGUAUCCUACGUUAAGGAGAGUUACUUAAAUUUAUAAAUAGGAUAAAUUACUCUAUUUAAUAAGUUAAUGUUUUCUUCUUUCUUCUAGAUUACAUAUAAAUUUAGUCAGAUAACCUAACACAUAUUUUAAUACUCGAUCAGAAGCCCUAAGCAGUGGUGGAUCCAAUAAAUUGAUUUAUAUGGUGUAAUAAUGUAAUAAAAAAAUGGUGAUUCAUAAAAUUGACCCAAUAUCAAAAUUUGUUUGCAAGAUUACUCCCCACUCAAAGGUAAUUUUCCUAAAAAUUAAUAGGAAAUUUAAUUGUCAUUGGGAUCAAAUUGCCCCCACACUCUUGAAUGUAGAUCCUCCCCUGGCCUUGAGUCAAGUAUUUUUUCCAAUAUAUACUCCGAAUGUCGGCAGGAACAACCUUCCACUUUAAUUUAAAAUUUUUACUUGAAAAAUUAAUUAAUGUUAAUAAAGUUCGUAAGAGAAAUGAGUUUAAUAAAAGAAAAUUAUAGGAGAAAUUCUAAUGUUUGUCUUUUAAUAAAUUAGUUUAUAAGUUUAAAAAGUUAACAUAUAUCAAAAUAUUAUUGAUUGGUGGUGGUUUCACGUCAGAUUAAGACGUGACACUUUACUUGUGAGACUGAGACAAUCAGCUUAGACUACUUCAAUAGGUUUGAAGCGUAGGCGGCACCCAUUCAAUUUGCACCAAUGUCUAUCAUUCUUUGUCCUAAUUACUACGAUAAUUAAUAACAUGCAAUUGAAAUUAUUAAUGUUAGUACUUGCCUAUAAAUAAAGGUAUUGUACUUGAAUCUUCAUAGAUGAUCACUUCAUUCCUUUAUUUACUUUGGUAACACAGAUUUUGAGAGACAUUAAAACUAAAGAAUAAUUGAAUAUGGCUUUGUGGGUUGAUGAUGCCAGCUCCAACGUGAGUGCAAUUAUCGCAUGUUUAAUUGCUCUAUUAGCCGUGGUCUAUUUCGUGUGGACAAGGAAAACAAAUGCUAAACUUCCACCAGGACCUCGCGGCUUGCCUGUAAUCGGAUACCUCCCUUUUCUCGGAACUACUGACUUGCACAAGACAUUCACGGAAUUAGCUGGUGUGUAUGGUCCAAUCUUCAAGCUCUGGCUUGGCAACAAAUUGUGUGUAGUGGUGAGCUCGCCUUCCCUAGUUAAACAAGUGGUUCGUGAUCAAGAUAUAACAUUCGCUAACCGCGACCCACCGAUCGCUGGACUCGUGGCCUCCUUUGGUGGCAAUGAUAUUUUAUUUUCCAAUUAUGGUCCUGAAUGGAGAAAGUUGCGCAAAUUAUUUGUGGGCAAGUUGAU
rnacentral:lncRNA from 1 species